UUGUUUCAAUCUCUACACAUUUAAUAAUUUACACAAACAUUUGAUCUUCUGCCCAUAUAAAUUUACUCAGUCUAGGUUUUUAUCUGAAUUGUUCUUUGAUUUUGAAUAAGUCUUCAUUAGACGACCAGGCAUUCUAUUGCACACAAUUCGCUGUCAUGUCAUAGACCUUGUAUUACUAAGGUAACCUGUGUGUUUCGGUUGUCAAGCAUUUGUUCAGGUUUCACUAAUGCAACUGCAUUCAUGUAGACAGAUUAUUUUCCAAUAGGGUAGUGAGUUCCCUUGGAAUGGAUCCCUGUUAGAUUGUUGUUUAGAUGAUUGUACGUUAGAUUCGAGCACGAUGCACGAUGACUUAUCGAUGUUUAAGUCAGGGGAAUCUCAGUGACUUAAGUUAUGUGAAAGACUGGAAUUUCUCCUUCAAAGCUCUGUUAUCAUACAAAUCCAUGAUUGAACACAAACAUUUAGUUUGCACGAGUAAAAUCAGCUAGUGAGUUUUUUACAGGCUUGUGAAAGAGAAUUUAAGAUAAAUUGUAGAGUACCAAGAUACAACAUAGAUAGAUGAUAUGCAUUACAAGCUGUCUUGACAUCCCCGUUCUUUCUGUAGAGUUUUGAUGUUUAUUUUUUAAGAUGAGGAAAACACGUGUACACGUCGGACUUUGGAUGCUUCGCCUCAGCGUGCUCCCGACAUUUCACUUCCGUUGUGGUGCACAUGAAUGUUUGCAUACACACCUUGCACUGUUUUCAGGCACCAUCAUAAACCAGUUAUGUUAUCAGAGGAACCCGAGCAAAGGACAACAAUGAUAUGAAGAAGAAACCAAAACCCGAGUCAUGUAUCUGAUAAUGUAGUUCACAAAAUGUGUCUAAAUUCAUUUUGACACUAUCAACUAAUGAUAUAACAUGAUGAAUGUUCUAAGUUAAGAAAUGUUAUUUCUGGAAUUCUCAAUUGCAUUUAUUACCAAAUUCCACUCAAACAGAACACUAGAAAGGCAGUUUUUGCAAUCAAUGAUUACUUAUUAUAAGAAUUUUAGGAAGGCUCAGACAAUCAUACAAAUUCUUCUCAUCAAUAUUUGUAACUUGUGAAAGCUCAUGCAAGAGAAGCUUAAAUUCAAGUAUUGUGUCUGCUCAUGGUUUUCUUCAAUGGAAGAUUUAGAGAAAAGGCCAAUUCCUCCCUAAAACGUCUUCCAAGUGUCAUCUGUUGGGAGUCGACAAAUCCCUCAACAGGUCGGUGUUGCCCUCGGUUGGAAUUUGUCUCCCAACUCUAACGAGAGAUCAACUGCUUGAGGCAAUGGGUUCAUAGAGCGGGAGUAACUUUUCUUCUAAGUGGCAUACACCACGCACGGUCCAUCACAACGAGGCGCUCCAGCUGUGUGAACCUAUCACCUCAAGCUCUCGACUUUCCGAAGACAAACUCUUAAUAUCACUUUGAAGACUUCGGUCUCCCUCGACAAAACAAAAUAAUGACCAAAAGUCUACUGACAAUGAACAAUUGACAAGCGAAAAACACUCUCAAAUCGUAAUUCGCGCAUAGGAACCAAGCAAUAAGUUCCCAUGAAACCAUACAAAGCUUUAAUCGAAGAAUCUCUCUCAAGAAUUUAAACAAACACUCUCUUCAAAAAUACAUCACAAACAAAAAUAGUCAAACUACAAACACAGAAAACUAACAAAGGAAUUCCCAACUUUUGCAAAGGAAGAUAAACAAAUAAAUCAUAAACCAUUGGGCAAAAACAACAGAUCAAGCAAAGUACAGUUUUAAAAUCAAAGAAAGAAAUGAAAACCAGAGCAUGCAAAGAUACUACCUGGAUGGACAUGGCCUUCUUGUUAGACUCAAGCUGGCUUCCUAUCAAAAAACCAAAGCUUAAAGAUCAAUGAUGGAUCUAACUAAAAAAUGGUCUUAAAAACACAGACCCAAAGAUUAGCAAAGAGAUGGAGAAAGAAAGAAAAAGUGGAAAGGAAGGAUUUGGGGAGCACCUUUGGCAGCAGCUUUUUGCUUUUCCAAGUUCUUCUCACGGGCCAUCUUGGAUUUUUGGCCAUUUCCUCCUCCCAUGAUGGAUUGAUGAGGGAAAAAAAGAAGGGUUUUUUGAUCGAAUUGGAAGUGAAAACUUGGAAGAGGGAACUAUCAGAGAUGAUAAAGGCAAAAUAAGGGAAAUGGGGGGGCAGAAAAGAGACAAGACAAUGAACCACAAAGAAAGUAUAUUCGAAUAAAGUAAUGCAAGUGGGGGCCAAAAGGAUAGAGGCUGGAAAUUGUCGAUAAAGGAAAACGCCAACUAGUUGAAUUUAGGUACAUCAGUCAGAUCUGUUACUGUUCUAUAUAUCACCCGAUUGUGAGGUGGAAUUAAAGGGUUAUUAAGGGGGAGUUUGGGUUCGGAUCCAAUUUAUUUAAGGUAUUUAGAUUAAUUAUUUAAGUUCGAAUUUGGUUCGAAAAUAAGUUUAUUUUUUUGUUCUACUUUAAUCUAAUUUUAAAAAAUGUAAAUUUAGAUCAAGUUUGAUCAGUUUAUAUUUGAUUUUUUUAGUUUACUUUUGUUAUAUAAUUAUAAUAAAAUGUAUAAUAACUCAACCCGAAGUCCGACCUGAUAAACCUACCUAAAUAUAUAUAUAUUUGAAGACCCUCUCAGAGAGGAUCUUCUCUGCUUCUUCACCAGAAUGUCUUUUCCCUCUCUCCACUAUCAUUGAUAUCAUGUAUCAACAAUUUUUUUAUUUAAAAUUAAUUUAUUUUAAAAGUAUAAUACAUACUACAAAUGAUAAAAUAAAAGUUUUCUAACACAUUAAAAAUUAUUUAUAUUAAAAAAACACUAUCAUAAAUAUAAUAAAUAUUUUAUUAUAUUAAAAAACACAUAAAAAUAUUAAAUAUUUUAUUGUAUUAAAUAUAAUUUUUAAAAUUUUAUAUUUUGGUUUAGGUUACUCAGUUGAGUAAGUUUUUUUUUUUAAGUUUUGAGUAAUAAGUUUAAUUGUUAUUGGGUUAAUGAUUUAAUAUACGUAUAAAUAUAUAUAUAAUUAUUAUUUGACAUAUAUAUAAUUAAUACAAUAUUAUUUUAUAACAUAAUAUUCAGGCCGAAUUGAGCUCGGGCCAAGAAAAUCUUGCUAAAAGCUCAAAUUAUAUAAAAAAUAGACCUUAAUUUUACCUAAGCUCAUUUUUUGAGUGGAUCUUCAGGCCUGGGCUAGUAGUCCAGCCCAUGAGAAGGUCUAAGUGGAAUAAUAAAUAAAUAUUUAAUGUUUGAAUUUAUUUUUUAGUAAAUAGGUAUCGUUAAACAAUAUUUUUAAAAUUGAAUUGGUGAUCGAACUGUUUAGACCAUCAGUUUACUGGUUCAAUCAGUUUAAUUAAAAAAUUAUUAAAUUUUUUAAAAAAAUUCUAUUCGAACUGGUUCAAUCGUUAAUUCAACUAAUUUUUACUUAAUUCAUACCAAUUCUAAUAUACAACUUAAAUAUACACACAAAAAAAUAGUUACAAUAUUAUAAAAUUUAUAAUUUUAAUCAAGAUAUGUAAAUUUAAAAGAGGGGUAUUUUGAUAGUUUUUAGGGGUGGGCCGAUGCAGGCUUGAUCAAAACUUUCGAAAAUUUUAAUUAAAAGAUCAAUUUCAUCCUGACCCAAAACUCGAUUAUCUUUUCAAUUUCAUCCCCUAUCUAACCAAAUCGGGUUGAAAUCCAAUAGAUUUGGGUUAUUUUGCUAGUCCUCAAUUAUUGCUUGGACCCUGUCAACUCUAAGAUCAACUGGAUCUUCAUCAAUUGCCCUCAAACAUUUCACACGAAUAUUUCCAAAAAAUAAUCGCAAUUGGAAUUGAAAAAUUAUUUUUGUGCGGUUUUAGUUUAAUUGGUAUCGUCAUUUUUGUCAGUGUAGAAGGAUGUGGGUUCAAGUGCGUUAAAAUAUAUUAUCCUCCUAUUUAAGGGUUGGGGAAGGACUAUGAGUAGCUCUAAGCUUAUUGUAUCAAAAAGAACAAAUAUGAUUAAUGUUCAAAAACAGACCUUAAAAACCUGACUUUUUUUCUCUCUUCUUUUUUGCUUGAGAAUAUUACGGGUAAAUUUCAAUUGCAAUCCCUCUAUUUUUUUAAUUACAAAAAUGGUUAAAUUUUAAUCUGAUCCUUCUAUUUCACUCAAAUUUGAGAUUUAAUUUAUAUAUUUUAAAAUUGACAUGACUUGAUAACUCAACUUUUAUAAUGUCAUUAGUUAGUCUAAAUUUUUUUUUCUCAUUAAAACGAUGGUGUGAAUUUUUAAGAAUUGUUAGCACCAUGAAAAUUCUUUGUUAAAUUCAGGUUCAUUACAAUGUUAUUCUUUUGUUAUGUGGAUACCAAUUUAUUUUAUUUUUUUUCAAAAUGCCACACUAACAUAAAAGAAUUCUGACAAUGUUAACAAAUGGACUUAAAUUUUUAAAUUUAAAAAGUAAAGAAACUAAAUUUCUGAAAAUAAAAAUUUAGAGACUAAAUUCUAAAUAUACGAAAAAUACAAAAAUUUUAAACAAAUUAUAAUUUUUAAAAAUUUACACUAUAAUUUAAUUAAUAAUUAAUUAAUUAACUCAACAAAAAUUGUGGGUGAAACCAUAUUAGUAAGUAGUAACUGUACAUAAAAUGUAUAGGACUUGCUGUCACGUGUCACACCCAACUAUAUUCAUUUUCUAUUCUUCUUGCGUUUUUACCAAAAACUGUUGAAUUUCAGCUUUGGUCCCUUUAAUAUGUCUAAAUUUGAGAUUUAAUCUAUAUACGUUAAUUUCUAAAAUAAUUUGUCCCUUGUAGUUUUAUAAUGUUAUUAUUUAGUACAAAUAGUUAAUAUUGUUUACUUCUUUACUAAAACAUUAUGUGGUUAUAUAUAAAUUGAACACCCUAAGUCUUAGAGAGUAAUAGUGGCUUCCCAAAGUAUUUGCGUCGCAUUUUUUUUACAUUAUAAGACAAUGAUCAAAAUUUAAUUUUAACCCUAAACUAUGUUAAAACUUGAGAUUUAAUCUAUAUACUUUAUUUGUUUUUUACAUAAUUCGGUCCCUCUACUUUUAUAAAGUCAUUAGUUUGCCUAAAUUGUAACACCCCCUACCCGUAUCCAUUGCCGGAAUAGGGUACGAGGCAUUACCGGAGUUUACUGAACAUUUUCAGAUAAUUCUGAGUCAUUUAUUAUUCAUAUUUUAGAAAUAAUCAUAACGUCUCUCUAUUGGGCCCUCGAAACCCCAAACAUACAUUAGAAACCAACCGGAAUUAAAUCGGGAUUAUAAAAAAGAUUUCGCAAAAAUCUUAAAUUUUAUUUUCAUCUAAGUACUUACUAUUUCAAUGCUCCUUAUAAUUAAACAUGUUACCGUUCAAUCAAUAGUUUGGCACUUGUCUAAGCGUCAAACAACAUCAUUGUUAGUAUACUUGCACACAUUUCAUCUAAAUUCAACAUUGAUAUACUUAUUUUCUCUACAUAUCGCACUUGAGUUUAAUAAUAGUCUCAACUUACAUAAUUUCCUUGUAUCAACAUAUCAAAGAUAAUCAUAUAUGUACAUGUCAUGAAACAUAUCAUGCUCUUACCGUUUCUUCAUAAGCAUAUAUCAUUCAUUUCAUUAUAUCAAUAUUUCAUGCUCCAUCAUUUCAUAUAUUUUUAUGUAUAUUUAUUCCGGUAAUAGUUUAUAUCAAACUUGACAUAAAUUAUAUUCCAUGUACUUAUACUUAUUUCGUUUAUUUAUCUUCAUAAUUAUUUCAUACAACUGUUUUGUACAUAUAUUUCCAUAUGACCAGUUCUUGUAAACAUUUCACACAACCAUUUCAUAUAACCAUUCGUCAUCUGAUAAGUAUUACCUGAAUAUCAAUUGUUCAAUAGAUGUCAUAGCGUCUCCCAUCCACGGUCUUAUUUAUCUUUGACAUGAUGCCAUAGUGUCUUUCAACUAUGGUCUUACUCAUUCAUUUUCUGUCAUGUUGCCAUGGUAUCUUUCAACCAUGGUCUUAUUCUUUUCAUGUCACGUUGCCAUAGUGUCUUUCAACUAUGGUCUUACUCAUUCAUUUUCUGUCAUGUUGCCAUGGUAUCUUUCAAUCAUGGUCUUAUUCUUUUCAUGUCACGUUGCCAUGGUGUCUUUCAACUAUGGUCUUUCUCAUUCAUUUUCUGUCAUGUUGCCAUGAUAUCUUUCAACCAUGGUCUUAUUCUUUUCAUGUCACGUUGCCAUAGUGUCUUUCAACUAUGGUCUUACUCAUUCAUUUUCUGUCAUGUUGCCAUGGUAUCUUUCAACCAUGGUCUUAUUCUUUUUAUGUCACGUUGCCAUAGUGUCUUUCAACUAUGGUCUUACUCAUUCAUUUUCUGUCAUGUUGCCAUGGUAUCUUUCAACCAUGGUCUUAUGUUGCCAUGGUUUCUUUCAACCAUGGUCUUACACAUUUCAUAUCAGGUUGCCAUGGUAUCUUUCAACCAUGGUCUUACACAUUUCAUAUCAGAGAGCACACUCCCGCGAACCUUAUCCUUACAGUGGGAUUACCAGUCCAGGCUAAAUCCCCUGUAAUAUAAACUCAUAGAGUAUUGUCGGGAUUACCAGUCCAGGCUAAAUCCCCUGCAAUGAUAAUUACUCUAAUGAGUUUGGAUUUGAAUUACCAGUCCAGGCUAAAUUCAGACCCUAAUUCGGAUUACCCGUUCGGACUAAAUCCAUUUUACACGUAUUCUUCGGGAGGGCUGUAUCAGAAUAGGAUCACCCGUCCGGGCUAGAUCCUUUUUACCGUCAAUUCCUUUUCAGAGAUCCAUUGAAUUUUCCUUUCAUUCAACCGGGCUUUAUUUUCAAUUUAUAUCGAGUAUUAGCAAUAUUUCAUCAAUUAUCAUGAAUUGAACAUUCAAAUCAUAUUUUCGUCACAUAACCACAUAUUUCAAGUAUUUAAAAUACAAUUCAAGUUACACAAACUUACCUCAUUACUUGUUUGUGUUUAUAAUUUCAUUAAUCCGAUAUCUUUUAUUUUCCACGAUCAAGUCUUAUUUUUGAGUCGUCCGGAUCUUUAUAAAUAAAUUUGAUCAUCAUUUUCAUUCAUUUCAUAUUCUAAUGCAUUUAAUUAAUGCUCUAGGAAAAAUUACCAUUUUUCCCCUAAACUUUUAAUUAAUGGCGAUUUCAUCCUUAGGGUCAGGAAAAUAAAAUUCUUGCAAUUUAAUCCUUAUUUCUAAAUAUUACCAUGCAUUCUAUAAAAUAUCAGAAUUUUCCAUAAUUUCAACACUUUUCAAUUUAAUCCCUAAAAUAUGUUUUCCCCCGAUCUUGAACUAAAUUAAUAAUUUCAUUCAAUUUUGUAAUUUAAAUAAUAAAAUAAUCCAUUUCAUGCAAUUUGGUCAUUUUUGACAUUUUUACAAAAUUACCCAUAAAGUUUUACUUUUAUUCAAUUUAGUCCCUGAGCCUAAAACAUGCAAAUUAGCCAUGCUAGAUGAAUAUUCAUAGAUAUUUUUCCUCCUCCUCCUCUCCAUUCCACAUCCUUAGUGUAUAUAACACACUUGUAAGUAACAUUAUCUAUAAUUUUUAUUAUUUACUUUUAUGAAUAUUCAAGCCGUCCAUCUGUGUCAUAGUCACUAAAUUAUUUAUAACUCGAGCUACGAAACUUAAAAUUAAGAUCCGUUAAUUUUCCCUGAAACUAGACUCAUAUAUAUUCUUACCAUAAAAUUUUCAGAAUUUUUAGUCUAGCUAUUAGGUACAGUUUAUUCUUUAAAUUCACCCCUAUUCUGCUGUCUGACAGUUCCGACCCUUAUUCAGUAAAAAUUAAUUAUCUUACAGUACAGAACUCGGAUAAUAUUCCUGUUGAUUUAUCCUGAAAAUAGACUCAUUAUGAAUUCUAAAAAUAUAACUUUAAGCCUCUGAUUAUUUUUCUUCAAUUUUUGGUGAUUUUUCAAAGUCAGAACAGAGGAACCCAAAUUCAUUCUAACCUUGUCUCACAAAAUUCAUUAUAUCUUAUAAUUUACAAUUCAAUUGCUUACACUGUUUCUUCUAUAAGAAAAUAGACUCAAUAAGCUUUAAUUCCAUAUUUUAUUAAUCCUCUAAUUCAAUUUCUAUAAUUUUUGGUGAUUUUUCAAACUUAGACUACUGCUACUGUCCAAAAUAGUCUUAGUGCAAAAUGUUGAUUUUCUACUUUUAAUUUCAAUUUAAUCCUAACUAAAUUCACUUACUUUUCUAUCUUAAUUCAUACUUUAUUUCUACUAAAAUUUUAACUAAACUCAUACUUAACCCAGCAUAUUUUCCUAAUUUCGAAAUUUCAUCAAUUUAGUCCCUACAACAUAAAACUUAUGAAUUAAUUUACAAUUCAAUCCUUAUUUCAUUUCUAACUUGAAUUCCUAUCAAUCUAACCCCUAAUUCAUCUUUUUAUUCAACAUGAAUCAAUAUUUAAAAAUCUAAUAACUUUCAAAAUAUUCACUUAAUUUCAUCAAAACCUUGUCCCAAAGCUUCCAAAACAUCAAAAUUAAGUAAAAAAAGGCUAAAUUGACUUACCUAUUUAACUUUCAAGCCUUGAAAUCCGAAUUUUUCCCUUUUUCCUUCUUUCUUUUUUUUCCUUCCUUCUUUCUUUCCCCUGCUCUCUGUUUUCGUUUCAUCCUUUCUUUCUUUUUCUAUUCUUUUUUUUUUCUAUUUCUUUUACUUUAUAUAUAUAUUAUAAUAACUUAAUAAUAGCUAUAAUAAAAUAUCUAUUUAAUAUCCAAUAUCUAUUUUACAUUUGUAUACACAUAUAUUAUUACAUUUGUCUUUCUUUAAUCUAUUUAUUAUAUAAAUAUCUUUUACUUAAUAAUAAUAUAUAAUUUAAUAAUAUACUUAUAUAAUAAGUAAAUAUACAUGUAUUUUACAAAUUUAUGUAUAUUAGUAUCACACAUGUCACUAUACAUACCAUACAUUUGUCAACUUUUUAUUUAUUUAUCAUAUCAUAUUAAUUUAAUAAUAAUAAAUACAUUAAUAUUUACUUAAAUAAUAAGCAAAUAAAUAUAUGUAUUACAAAUGUGUGUAUUAUAUUUAUUAUACUUGUAUUUUAUUUUUGCCAUACACUUGGCGCUCUUUUUGGUUUAUUUACUUAUUUAGUCCUUUUAAUUUUCUUUAUUCUAUAAUUAAACUUUCACACUUCAUUCAAUUUAAUCAUUUUAUCUAAUUAUCCUUUAUUUAAGCUAAUUUGCUUCAUUAAACUUUAAUUAAUCACUUUCUUAACUUUGUAAAUAUUUUUUAAAAAUAUUUACAAAUCUAUUUUUCAGAAAUGGAGACCCGAAAAUGUACUUUUUUGAUAACUGUAAAAAUUCGGGUCAUUACAUAAAUAGUUAAUACUGGUCAACUAUUUCAAUCAAAAUGUUGGCGUUAAUCUAGAAAAAAAUAUUUCAUCAUGACGAUUUUGAGUGGGUAUUUUUAAGAAAAAAUUGUAAUCAAUAUUUCCAAUGUUGUUUUUUUAAUACAUGGCUACCAAGUGAAUAUAUUUUUUUUUUUAAUUUCAAAAUGUCACACUUGAAAAUUUAAUAAAAGAAAUUUAACGAUGAUAUUAAUUGGACUUGUAAUAUCCUGAAUUAGGGCCUAAUCGGAAUAGUGGUUUCGGGACCACAAAUUCGAGAUAGAAAUAAUUAUUUUAUUAUCAUUUUAAGGUCUAUGGCAUGAUUUCAUGAUUUUGUGAAAAUUUCGUUUAGAAAUUUUAUCGAUAGAGGGUCCAAUUUGAUAUUUAGGACUAAAUUGCAAAAGUUGUAAAAUGUGUGUUCUAGUUUACAAAGGUACUAAGUACUUGUGAGUAAUGGGUUUUUAAAGUGGAGGUCCUUGGAUAGUAAUUAGACCAUUAUACCAGUUUGGACAAAAAUACCUAAAGGAAGAUAAAACACAAUAGUUUUUAAUUAAGGGCAUUUUGGUCAUUUAGUUAUUAAAAUGAAUUAAAAACAAAAUUAAAAGCCAAUUUUUGUCCAUCUUCAACCCCUUGGCCGAAUUUUACAUGAGGGAGACAUAGCUAGGGUUUUUCAAGCUUCCAAGCUCGAUUGUAAGUCUAUUUUAGCUCCGUUUUUAAUGUUCUUUACGUUUUUGGAGUCCCGGUAACUUGAUUAAGCUUAUUCUAGCAAUAAUUUAAUCUAGGGUUUAUAUUUGGAAAAAUACCCAUAGGUGAAAUGUGUUUAUUUUGAUGUUUUAUGUUAGAAUAUGAAGCUUGAGAUUGUGUUAAACAACUUUUGCUAAGCGAUUUUACGUGAAAACGAGUAAAACGACAUAAUCUGUAAAAAUACCUAAUGUUCAUAAGUACAUGCUAAAGUGAGAAUUUGAUGUUGCCAUAGAAGGGAAAAAUGAUCAGCAUGCCAUAAAACAUAAGAAAAUAGGAUGAAGUUUAAUUUCCUAGCUUUGGGGUAAAAGUGUAAAUAUGUAAAAGUUUAGGGGCAAAAAUGUAAUUUUCUAAAGUUUGAGUAAAGGACUGUUUUAAUAAAUGUGAGUAUUAAAUAAGCUAAGUUUGUUAUUUUAGAUCAAGAGAAACAAGAUUCGAGUCGUGAUCGAGGGAAAAAUAAAGUUUACGAGGAAUAGGCUCGAUUUCUAACAUUUUGUACCGAGGUAAUUUCAGGUGUAAAUGUAGUAACAUAAUUGUCAUUUUAAGUAAUUUAAUGUUAUUUAUAUGAUAUGAUGAUUAUUAUCAUGAAAUAUUAUGCUUUGUGGAUUAUUAUUUAGUAAUAUGCAAAUUAUGUGAGCUACUUGAUAAAUAUGAAAUGCUAUCAAGUAUCGGUUCCGAUAUUCCGUGGAAGACAGCAAAGAUGUAUGAUUGAGGAAAAUCUCGUUUGAACCUUGGGAAUAGAUUAGGAUACAAGUGACAUGUCACUAGGAUAUUUGAGUUUCCGAACUCGUUGAGUUGAGUUCGAGUUCAUGAGAUGUAACUAGGCAUCCGAACUCGUUGAGUUGAGUCCGAGUUCACUUAUGGAUACGAACACUCGAUCUUGUUGAGUUGAGUCCGAGUUCGCUUAUGGGCGGGUUAGAUGGUAGUUUGGCUACAUAAUUUCUGCAGGCUAUUGAGUUUGUCUAGCUGCGGGUAUGGCACUUAUGUGCAUGCAACCCAUGUAUCCAAAUUAUAUUCUGAUAUGUUCAACGGGUGAAUCUUAAGUGAAUAAGGAGAAUACUUAAGACGAAGGUGACAUGUUGGUAAGUGUGGUGAAUGAGAAAAUUUGGACAGGUAUGUGCUUAAACCAUCGGGUUGAGAACUUGGUAUGAUGAAAUCGUGGUAAGAUAGUAAAUGCAAAUGUAACAUGAAUGUCUUGGUGAUAUUUAUAUAAAUGAUGUUUUAUGUUGGAUUACAUGAUUAUGUUACUUGCUAUUUACAUGUGAACUUACUAAGCAUUUAUGCUUACUCCCUCAUUUCCAUUCUUUGUAGUUUUGACAAGCCAGCUCGGAAAUUGAGAGCGGUCAGAGGCUCGCUCACACUAUCCGUGGACCAUUUUGGUAUAGUGGCGUGUAUAUUUUGAGUAUGGCAUGUAUAGCAUUAUAAUCAUUUUGUGUAUAUGAUCUUAUGAUAUGGCUAUUGGGUGGUAAGGAAAUGUUUGGUAAUGAUUAGCCAUUGGAAUGUCUAAUCAAGAUCAUAUUUGGUGUUAUAUAUACUUAAUGUGCUAUCUAAUCCAUGGAAAUUCAUAAAAAAGGUGAAAUUUGCUAUAAAAUAGUAUCAUACAACAGCAAUAACGUGAGUUUGAAAAAUCACUAAAAAUAGUAGAGAUAGAAUUAGAUGAUGAAUAAAAUAUUAAAUUGAAUCUUAUUGAGUCUAUUUGCAUAUUUAAGAAACAAAACAGGUAAAUGAGUUGUAUUUUAUGAGAAAUUUGAGUUUUGGUGGAACAGGACAGAGCGAUUUCUGAAUCCCCUAUUCUAACUUUAGAAACUCACUAAAAAAUGUAAAAAAAUAAUUAGGAGUCAUAAUUUAUAUAUAUAGAUUCCUUAUUGAGUCUAAUUUUAAUAGAAACAAACAGCAUAGUCAUCUGAAUUUUGUACAGAGAGAAAAGUGAUUCGUAGUGAACAGAGGUCAGAGCAGUCAAACACUAAAAUAGGGGAAACUUUAACUAAUAAACUGUACUAAUUGGCCUAACCAUAAAUUCUGGAAAAAAUUUAGUAAAUAGAUAUAUGAGUAUCGUUUCAGGGAAAAUUUACGGAUUUUAAUUUUGAGUUUUGUAACUCGAGAUAUGAUUUUUUGUAGCGACUGUGACGCAGAUGAGCAGUUUAUUACAAAAGGUGAAAUAAAUUGUUUGAAAUUGUUUAAGUGAUGUUAACGCCUCGUGCUCGAUUCCGGCGAUGGUCUCGGGUAAAGAGGAGUUACAUUUGGUGGUAUCAGAGCUACGAUUUAGUCAGUUCUCUGACUAACGUGGCGUAUGUACGGGUUUUGCUAUACAUGUCAUAUAUAUUGUGAUAGUGUGACGACUCUUGACCUUUAAAAUGAUUUUUUUAUAGUAAAUAGAUCCCGAUCCAGCUGUGGCCGAUGAUGUAGAGAGAAAUGCGCCAGCUCCUGCUGAAGGGGCGGUGCCGACUGAAAACCAACCUCCUACUGUUAGUCAAGGAGGAAGAGAAGGGGCUCGAGAAGCCUUUCUCCAGAUGAUGAAUGCAUGGUACACCGAGUUCGUUCGUACGAACCCGAAUGCUCAACAACCCCCUACUGUUGUUCGUUCGUUCGAGAAGCCUCCUACUGUUGUUGAGCAUUCGGGUUCGUACGAACGAACUCGGUGUACCAUGCAUUCAUCAUCUGGAGAAAGGCUUCUCGAGUCUUUUCUCUUCCUCCUUGACUAACAGUAGGAGGUCGGUUUUUAGUCGGCACCGCCCCUUUAGCAGGAGCUAGCGCAUUGCUCUCUACAUCAUCAUCCAUAGCUGGAUCGGGAUCUAUUUACUAUAAAAAAAUCAUUUUAAAGGUCAAGAGUCGCCAUCCUAUCACAAUAUAUAUAUAUGACAUGUAUAGCAAAACCCGUACAUACGCCACGUUAGUCCGAUAACCGACUAAAUCAUAGCUCUGAUACCAUUAAAUAUAACACCCCUUUACCUGAGGCUGUCGCCAGAGUCGAGCUCGAGGCGUUAACAGACUUAAAUUAUCACUUAAACAAUUUCAAACAAUUUAUUCCACCUUUUGUAAUAAACUGCCCAUCUGCGUCACAGUCACUAAAAAAAUCAUAUCUCGAGUUACAAAACUCAAAAUUAAAAUCUGUAAAUUUUUCCUGAAACUAGACUCAUAUAUCUAUUUACUAAUUUUUUUCCGUAAUUUUUGAUCAAGCCAAUUAGUACAGUUUAUUAGUUAAAGUUUCCCCUGUUUUAGUGUUCAACUUCUCUAACCUCUGUUUACUACGAAUCAUUUUUCUCUCUGUACAGAAUUCAGAUGACUAUUCCAUUUGUUUCUCUUAAAAUUAGACUCAAUAAGGAAUCUAUAAAUAUAAAGUAUGUCUUCUAAUUAUUUUUUUUACAAUUUUUAGUGAAUUUCUAAAUUCAGAACAGGGGAUUCAGAAAUCACUCUGACCCUGUUCCACUAAAACUCAAAUUUCUCAUAAAAUACAACUCAUUUACCUGUUUUGUUUCUUCCAUAUAAAAAUAGACUCAAUAAGCUUCAAUUUCAUAUUUAUUCAUCAUCUAAUUCUAUAUCUACUAAUUUUAUUUAUUUUUCAAACUCACAUCAUUGCUGUUGUAUCAUACUAUUUUAUAGCAAAUUUCACCUUUUUAUGAAUUUCUAUGGAUUAGAUAGCACAUUAAGCAUACAUAACACCAAAUAUGAUCUUGAUUAGACAUUCCAAUGGCUAAUCAUUACCAAACAUUUCCUUACCACCUAAUAGCCAUAUCAUAAGAUCAUAUACACAAAAUGAUUAUAAUGCUAUACAUGCCAUACUCAAAAUAUACAAGCCACUAUACCAAAAUGGUCCACGGAUAGUGUGAGCGAGCCUCUGACCGUUCCCAAUUUCUGAGCUGGCUUGUCAAAACUACAAAGAAUAGAAAGGAGGGAGUAAGCAUAAAUGCUUAGCAAGUUCAUAUGUAAAUAGCAAGUAACAUAAUCAUGCAAUCCAACAUAAAACAUCAUUUGUAUAAAUAUCACCAAGACAUUCAUGUUACAUUUGCAUUAAUUUACUAUCUUACCACGAUUUCAUCAUACCAAGCUCUCAACCUGAGGGUUUAAGUGCAUACCUAUCCAAAUUUUCUCAUUCAUCACACUUACCAACAUGUCACCUUCGUCUUAAGUAUUCUCUUUAUUCACUUAAGAUUUACCCAUUGAACAUAUUGGAAUAUAAUUUGGAUACAUGGAUUGCAUGCACAUAAGUGCCAUACCCGCAGCUAGACAAACUCAAUAGCCUGCGGAAAUUAUGUAGCCAAGCUACCAUGUAACCUGUCCAUAAGCGAACUUGGACUCAACUCAACGAGCUUGGGCGUUCGCAUCCAUAAGUGAACUCGGACUCAACUCAACGAGUUCGAAUGCCUAGUUACAUCUCACGAACUCGGACUCAACUCAACGAGUUCGGAACUCAAAUAUCCUAGUGACAUGUCACUUGUAUCCUAAUCUAUUCCAAAGGUUUAAACGAGAUUUUCCUCAAUCACACAUCUUUGCUGUCUUCCACGGAAUGUCGGAACUGAUACUUAAUAGCAUUUCAUAUUUAUUAAGUAGCUCACAUAAUUUGCAUAUUACUAAAUAAUAAUCCACAAAGCAUAAUAUUUCAUGAUAAUAAUCAUCAUAUCAUAUAAAUAACAUUAAACUACUUAAAAUGAAAAUUAUGUUACUACAUUUACACCUGAACUUAUCUAGGUACAAAAUGUUAGAAAUAGAGCCUAUUCCUCAUAAACUUUAUUUUUCCCUCGAUCGCGACUCGAAUCUUGUUUCUCUUGAUCUAAAAUAACAAAUUUAGCUUAUUUAAUACUCACAUUUAUUAAAACAGUCCUUUACUCAAACUUUGAAAAAAUUAUAUUUUUGCCCCUAAACUUUUACAUAUUUACACUUUUUCCCCAAGGCUCGGAAAUUAAACUUCAUCUUAUUUUCUUAUGUAUUAUGAUAUGCUGAUUAUUUUUCCCUUCUAUGGCAACAUCAAAUUCUCACUCUAACAUGUACUUAUGAACAUUAGGUAUUUUUACUGAUUAUGUCGUUUUACUCGUUUUCACGUAAAAUCGCUUAGCAAAAGUUGUUUAACACAAUUUCAAGCUUCAUAUUAUACCAUAAAACAUCAAAAUAACUCAUUUCACCUAUGGAUAUUUUUCCAAAUAUAAACUCUAUGUUAAAUUAUUGCUAGAAUAAGCUUAAUCAAGUUACCGGGAUUCAAAAAACGUAAAGAACAUUAAAAACGGGGCUAAAAUGGACUUACAAUCUAGCUUGGAAGCUUGAAAAACCCUAGAUAUGUCUUUCUCAUGUAAAAUUCGGCCAAGGGGUUGAAGAUGGACAAAAAUUGGCUUUUAAUUUUGUUUUUAAUUCAUUUUAAUAACUAAAUGACCAAAAUGCCCUUAAUUAAAAACUAUGGUGUUUUAUCUUCCUUUAGGUAUUUUUGUCCAAACUAGUAUAAUGGUCUAAUUGCUAUCCAAUGACCUCCACUUUAAAAACCCAUUACUCACAAGUACUUAGUACCUUUGUGAACUAGUACACACAUUUUACAACUUUUGCAAUUUAGUCCUAAAUAUCAAAUUGGACCCUCUAUCUAUAAAAUUUAUGAACGAAAUUUUCACACAAUCAUGAAACCAUGCCAUAGACCUUAAAAUGAUAAUAAAAUAAUUAUUUCUAUCUCGUAUUUGUGGUCCCAAAACUACUAUUCCGAUUAGGCCCUAAUUCGAGAUAUUACAGGACCUGAAAUUUUAAAUCCAAAAAGUAGAUUAGUAUAUUCUCGAAAAUAAAAGUAGGGGACUAAAUUCCAAAUGUACAACGUGUAUAGGGACUUAGAGAAUAUUUUAACAUUCGAUUUUUUACUUUAUAAUUUGACAUAAACAAAUAAUCAACCCAACGCGAAGCAUGGGCUAGGAACCACAAUAGUUUAUAUUGAAUUUUAAGUUCAAGACAAGUACAAUAGAUUUUCUUCUAACAUGGUCAAAGACAAAACCAAAAUAAUGUUGAUAGUUAAGAAAUAAAUAAAUAUAUAAUUGUUGAGGGGGAAUCGACUUCUUCCGGAGAAGUCUUCAAUGCGUCGUCCUCUAAGCAACCGAUUGAAGCCCCCAAUAAUCGAAGGUAUUGUCCUUGGGAGAGAGUUUUGUCCCCAGCCUCCACGACGAGCCAACGUGCUGUAAGUGGCUACCUUGAAAGUCUACUUCAUACAUGGGUGCCUUGAUUAUACGUGGACAUAUGACCACUUAUCGAGAGGCAAUAAAAGCAUCUCGCCUUUGGUGGAGUUUAAACCCAUCACCAAUUACAUAUAAGCCACUUAUUAGAGUAUAUCUGUCCCAUAUAGAUCACAAUGACAAUCUUUUUUAAUUCAUUUUCUUAUUCUUCUUUUUUAUCAAGCACCGUCAAUUUUAUUUUCUAUCUAAAUUUUCACUCUCAAAUUUUUUUAUUAUAAUUUUCCAUUUAACUAAAUGCAUGUUAAAUGCCAUUUUGAAAAUGAAGUGGAGCACAUGUAAAAUACAUGAAUCAAAUUGUAAAGACAAGUUUAUAAUGUAUUUAUCACAUAAAUAACUUGAAUUUGACAUGUUAAAAGAAACAUAUAGCAUCAUUAAUAGGGGUGAAUUUAGAAAAUUUCUAAACAUUGGAAUUGAAUUAUAAAUUUUUUGAAAAUUCAAAAUGUAAUUUUAUAAUGUAUUAACUUAUAAUUUCAUCAUUUUUUUAAAUAAAUAAAUAAAUAAUUUUUUUAGAAAGGUAAAGCAUAAUUUUAUCAUUACAAAUUUUAAAUUUAAUCAUUUAUAACAAAACUAAAAAGAAACCUUCUUAGGGGUGGGGUUCAAAGCCCCCAUAUCCCCCACAUUGUAUUAGCCUCUUAACAUCCAAUGAAUGUCCGAAAUUAACUUAUAUUAUUUUUUUGGUAAAAAAUAGCAGAAAUCAACUACAUCAACAUAAUUCUAAUGAGAAUUUCCUAUGGUUUCGAGUUGUUGAAGAUCAGCUAACAACAAUGCUCUAACACUCAUUGGAGGCUAUUUAAAAGUGCAACUUGUAUUUAAAUCUUCAGCAUCCAUCUUCGUUAAGUAAUCCACAACCUUAUUUUAUUCCUUUGGAAUAUGUCGGAAUUUAACUUGCAAGCCAUUCACGAGUAGAGAGUAAAUGAGUCUUACCUCUAAAAGACUAUUAUCCAUUCCAUAACCGUUGCUAAUAAUAUCAAUCAGAAUGACAUUGUUAUUUUCCACUUCAAUCUGUCUGAAACCUUUAUUCGAUGCAAUAGAAAGUCCUUCAUAGAUCGCCAUUGACUCGGUUUAAAAAAUUCCCGAUUUGCCAAUUGUCAUUGUAAAGCCAAGUAAUUAGGCUUUAUCUUGAUUUCGGAACACCCCCUACUGCAACACAGGAUUUCUUAGGAGAGAAACCUAAAUUAAUAGCUAAAUUGAUGGAAGGAGCUAAUUAUAUGAAACCAUAUUUUGAAGAUAUAAUCAAAAUUCUUUGAGGAUUAGGACCAAAUUAAAAUCUAAAUCAUAAAUUGAGAACUACUGCUGCAAUUAAUCUAAAGAGUAUCAUAUUAAGCCAAAUUUGGCAUUAACUUUAAAUUUUCUAUUUAUUUAUCAGUUUCCCUCCGUACAAGUUUUUUCCCGCGUUUCUUCGAAGGUUUCUAAUAACUUCUAUUGGUUUCCAUUUCUUAAUCCGAAAUAUAAUUUACAAAGUAUGAAGUUAAUUAUUUUUGUAAAAAAUGGAAGCUUAGUUUGCAAAUCAGAUCAAAACAUUCGGGAUUUUAGCCAUUUUUUCGGGUGAACUACGAGCGCAUCGGACUUAUUCUACUCUCGAAGGUAGAGUGGACCGACGACCCGACCCGCAUUCAGGAUUUGGGUCCUUAAUUGAUCGGAAUUACAAUCGCGCCGGAAAUCAUUUCAGUCACCGUAAUCGGAGGCUUGAUUUGAACGGCCGUGAUCCUCUCCGUCGGUAUUCCCUACGCUCACGUGGCUUCUCCCUUUCCCUACGCUCAUUGCACAUUUCCUUUAUUAACAUGUCACUUAAUGUUUGUUUUUCGUUUGGUUGCUUAGAAAAGAAAAACCGAAAAGGAAAAAAUAAGUAUACGAAUUAAUAGAUGUUCUUGGAAGUGAAAAUAGAUUGAAUUUUCAUUUUGUUGAAAUAAAAUUUUGAUUAAUUAAUUUAUUUUGCUUUGAAAAUCAGUAGCUUAAAGCUAAAUCUAUUAGUUGAAUUACCGAAAAGUAGUUAUGUAAUGUAAAAUUUUCUCGAUACUUUAUCUGAGUUCUGAGCCCUAAGCUAAAUUGCUGUAAAUUUCAUCCAAUAACAUAUAAUAUAUAUACAGAUAGAUAAGAUUGCUUGAUAUUUCAUUACUUUGUGAUUUGCUUUUACUUUGGGGAAAUUACUUAACAGUUAAGUGCAUUGAGCUAGUGUUGCUAUCUCUUCUUCAGUAAUGAAUAUUUUGAGUUUCUUUCAUUGAAAUGCUAUAAUGAAUUUGGCUUUGUAAUGCAGCAACCAGUUUGUCUAAGUAGUUCAAGUAGGCCACGUUUAAGUUCGAACUAGCGACUGCCCGGAGUUUUGCUGCGAGUAAAAGGCGCGUCCAUUUCUUCAAACAGGUUGGUGCUUAGAGCUCUCUGCAAGUUUCAAAUUCAUAGCACUUACAUUGGUUGUUUUUACUGUGAUUAUUUACCAUGUCAAGUAGAACUAGUAGUUCUGCAAGUUUGAAACUCAUAGCAUUUGCAUUAAUGCACUUAUGGCACUUUUAUUGCUUUUGCUGCACUAGUUGAACGAAAAAUGUAUUCUCCAGUCUUACUUUGACACCAAUUUCCAUUCAACCCGUUUAAAUUCUCGAAGGACAGCAUAUCAUAUCUAUAAUUUUCUGAACUCUACUAGAAUCCAAAUCAUGAUUUUGCUCUUUUGUUCUACUUUUAUUUCGUGGGAUUUGUUGAGUGGUGCAAAAUGAUCAAAAGGGAGGCAACUAUUAAACUAUCAACUUGUGUCAUAAUCUGUAUAGGACGAUUCAGUGUCAUAUAUGGUUGAUUGUGAUCCAUUAUUGUUGCUGCAUCCAUAAAAUGAAAUUGUGGGUCUGACUGGGUUUAGCAAUAAGGAAAAGAGGUACAAUGUGAUCUUUUAGGAAGAUAGAUGGCUUGGGUUAUCACCGGUUUAUGCAUGGAUCAAUUUCAUAGGAGUAACCUAUCAUGCACUCUGAUGCAGCAAUUUGUCGGUUGCAUUGUCACUAGUGUAUUCAAUUUUCAAUAAUUGUUUUGGCGCUUGAUACCCUAGCUAUUUUUUAUAGAAUUGCCCGCUAUAAUCAUCAUGUUUCAACAGACUUUUUUUUGUCCCUCUUUAGACAUUAGAUAUUCUGGUAAAAUUUUGCUAUUAGUCCGUGUACUAUGCACAAGUUGUAAAUUUUUGUACUUAUACUUUAAUUUAGUCAUUUUUAGUCUUUGUACUUUUUAAAUUUUAAAAAUUUAGUCCUAAACAAUGACUGAUAAAUUCAUUAAGUUAAAAUUUGUUAUUUCCAACAUCUUAUGCCACAAACAUAUUAUCACGUUUGUAAUUCUAUGUCAACUUACUAUUUUCACACAAUGCUUCAAGAAAAUCGUUUCAUAGUAGUUAAUAAAUUUAAUAGCUCUUAUUUGAGUUAAGAUUAAAAUUUAAUAAAAUUUAAUAGCUCUUGUUUGAGUCAAGAUUGAAAUUUUAAAAUUUAAAAAAUAUAAAGAUUAAAAAUAUCAAUUUGAAGGACGUGGAUUAAAUCCACAAUUUAACGUCAUAGUAUGGAACUAAUAGCAGAAAUUUUAGAGUACAUAGACUAAAACCUGCAACUUACAUAUAGAACAUGGACCAAUAGCAGAAUUUGACCAUUUAUUUAUAUUCUUGAACAGAUUAAAUUCACUCUUUUUGUGCUCAAAAAAAAUCUGUCAUUACUUUGAGCCUACUUCUGUUAAUGCAUUAAAUCAGAUAUUUCUUUUGCUACUCCCCAGCUAUUAGUAGUACCAUAAUUUCCAGGCCCACUGCUGCUUGACUGGCAUCACUAACAACCAUUACCGUCCAGUCCCACUGCCGGUGUGCUUCCCAUGUAGUAUAUUAUUGUUAUUUACAUCACUUUCCACUGCCACUACUACCCAGCUACUUCUGCUGUGACUUCCUAGUAAAUUAGCAUUACUAACCAUGUAGACCACUAGAACUUGUGACACUCAGUAAUGGGGAUAUCCAUGUUUCUGUCUUUCAUUAAGCAGUGGGCUACUUCAAAGUCCAAACUGCGGUUUAAACAUUUUGUACUUUUUUUUCCCUUUUUCGUUUUCUAAUUUACUCAUUUAGUCCUUGUUUUAAUUUUUUGAAUUUUCUUUCUGAAUCAGAAAUCAGUAUUUUGAUAGAUUUGAACGUCGAUUUAAUUUUUGCGACACAGCUAUCAUGUAGGCAGAGGUGUCGUUCACUAGACUUGCUUAGAUCCUUGGGUUAGAGCUUGUGGGAACUGACCUUACUAUAGAAAAAGCAUAUACUAUCUCUAUUAUGUACCCAAUUGCAAGGUAUUUGAAUUAAAUCCCACUUAAAAAGUAUGAGAUUUUUAGUGAAAUUUAUAUGAACCAUGUUUGUCUCAACUUCAACAACUAGCUUUUGAGAUAUAAUUCUCCAUUGAUCUAUAUUUGUUAGUGCUUCAGUUUCCUUAACUUUGAUAGCGUGUGAACUUUCAAAUGUAAAGUAUCUAUCGGUUUCAAUGUCCCUUUCCUUGCUUGACUAACCUGCCCUACUUGUUUUCCAAAAUAGACUAAAACCAAAUUGUUUUAUGUUGUUGUCAGCUACAGUAUUGGUACUCACCAUGCUCUGUGUCUCAACCUCUAUGUUAAAACCUUUUUCCUUGAAAUUUCUUAGGCAAUUUUGGACACAUAACAAACAUAAAAAACAAUACAAAUAUAUAAUAUUAAUAUAAAAGUAUGUCAAUAGUAAGUUUAAGGUCAAAAUAUAUCAUAAGUACUUAUACUUUUCAAAAAUUUAAAAUUUAGUCUUUGUAUUUUUUAUUUCUAAAAAUUUAGUCUCUUUAUUUUGUUAAAUUUAGAUUUAUUAUAAUGUUAUUUUUUUAGUUACAUAACUAUAAAAUGAAUUUUUUUAAAUGUUACACUAAUAAAUAUAAUAAAAAAAUUUAACAAUGUUAACAAUUAAAUCUAGAUUUUAAAAUUUAAAAAAAAUGAUUAAAUUACUAAAAAUAAAAAUAUAAGGAUUAAAUUCUAAAUUAGGUAGAAAAAAUUUACCUAAUCUGAUAUGAUGUUUAUCAUGAUUUGAAAGUUUUGUAUUAAAAUGCCCAUUUCCCCACACGAGAAAUGUCACAUGUAUCACAACUUGUUAGGAUCAUUAUUUAUAAUAAACAUAAAAGCAGAUGUAAAUCAUAUCCCUCAUUUGACUCUCUAGAGGCAAAAAGAGGGAAGCAUAUUAUACUCCACUUAAUAUAUUGAACAUAUACUCUUCCUUUUUCAAUUGUAUAAAAUAUUCAUUUAAAAUAAUCUUUAUCAUGAAGAAAGCUAAAAAGAAACUUAAAGGAAAAAAUGAAAAAAAGGGGAAAAUGAAAGUUUAUGUUUUACAGAAGAUCCUUAUACUAUGAAUUUUUUGUAUAUCUAGUCCUUCUAUUAUAAUUUAAUAUUUCUACUCCUAUUUUACCAAACAGGUAUUUUUAGUUUCGAUGUCAACUUUUUCUUCUAAUUUUGCUAAAUAUUAUAAUAGGAUAUAGCACUUGACUCUACAUCCACAUUUUGUACAAUUAGAUAUUAUUUUUGUAUAUUUAGAAAAAGAAUAAAAAUUAUAAUAAAGUGUAUAAAAAACAAUGCAAAAGUGAUAAUGUAUUUAAAUAUUAAGGUAAAAUUAGUCUCAAGUUAGAUCCAUGACAACCCACUACCUCUACCCCUAUAAGCAUUAAUAAAAGUGAUUGAGGGUUAAAAAUUAUCAAAGUAUGGAAAAGGGGACUAAAUCCGAAAAAAUGAAAAUUCAGAGUCUUUUUAUGAAAUUUUACCAAAAUGAAAACGGAAACUUAAACGCGUAGAGUACAGCAGUAUUCGGGUCUUUGGUCAUCUUCCUCUUCACGCGGCAUCUUCCCCUUUAAUCGCCACUCUCUCUCUCUCUUUAUAUAUCUUUAAAAACCAUUCUUCAACCUAACAAAAAAAACCACAGCAACAAAAAAGAAAACCAUACAAACAAAUCCUGAAAGACUCUCUCUUUACAACGUAAAGAGCAAAAACCCCAACAGCAAAACGUGUAGCAAUAAGGUAAAAACACGGUAGGGAAGGAAGGUUGUUAAUAUAUACAUAUAAAAGUUAUAACGGAGAAAAGGUCGAACGAUUCAAAAAAACCCAACGAUGGCUAUGAUGUUACGGUCGCUCGCUAGGCCGCUUGAACGUUGCCUUGGGUUAAGGGCCGGUGGGGAUGGUCUCAUGUGGCACACUGAUCUUAAACCUCAUGCUUCCGGCGAUUACUCUAUCGCCGUCGUUCAAGCCAAUAAAAACCUUGAAGAUCAAAGCCAAGUCUUUACAUCUCCUUUGGGUACCUAUGUUGGUGUUUAUGAUGGUCAUGGCGGACCCGAAGCUUCCAGAUUUGUAAACAAGCAUCUUUUCCCAUUUCUCCACAGUAAUUGUUCUUUGACCCUUUUAAUCUUUUUCUUAAUUCUUUUUUCUGGUUUUUUUUUUAGAUUAUCUGAAAUGGGGUUUUCUUUGCAUGUAAUUUUUCAAGAUUCAAAUAUUCUUUUGUGUUUUAAUGGGCAAAGAGAAUUUUGGGUUUUUGUCAGUUUAUGAUAUUUUGAACAACUUCCAAGUGUAUCAUGCACGGUUAUUUAGUUGUUAUUUGUGUAUAUGAAUGAAUAUGAAUUACUUUGUCUAAAUAUAAAUCUUUAUGCUUUUGAAAUUGGAAUUUGGUUCUCAAGAUUCUAAAACCAUUCAGUUUAAUUUCAAUUUUUGGCACCUUUCACCUCCUUGCUUUAUUGGGUUUUGUCAGUGAAUGGUUGUGUUCUUGUUUUAAUUUUUCUAUGUCUUAAUUGUAGAAUUUGCUACAGAGCAAGGGGGAUUAUCUGCAGACGUGAUAAAGAAGGCGUUCAAUGCUACUGAAGAAGAGUUUUUACAUUUGGUGAAGCAAUCAUUGCCCGUAAGGCCUCAAAUUGCUUCAGUUGGAUCAUGUUGCCUUGUUGGUGCGAUAUCCAACGAUGUGUUGUAUGUGGCGAAUCUCGGCGACUCGAGAGCAGUUCUUGGCAAAAGAGUUUCGGAGGAUAAGAAAAACAAGGUUGUGGCGGAGAGGCUAUCAACAGAUCACAAUGUUGGAGUUGAGGAAGUAAGGAAAGAGGUUGAGGCUCUUCAUCCUGAUGAUUCGCAUGUCGUGGUUUACACUCGCGGAGUUUGGAGGAUUAAGGGCAUAAUCCAGGUACUUAACAAAAUCUGUUGGCAAACCCAAUUAUAAGAGUUUUAAGUUGAAUCAGCCAGGUUGAAGAACAGUUCAUGUUUUGGUUCGAUGAAUUCGAUGGAUUUGCAUAUACAUCUUUCUUUCCAGACAUUGCUUGUAUGUUUAUAGAAGAGGUACAUUUACAAAACAACUAUGCAUUGUGCAUCCUCUGAAUCAUAAUGCUAAGCUUAUGCGACUAUAUGGAGUCUUCUCUCUUUUCUUUUUCGGGUUUUUUGGGCUCCUUUUGUUGAUUUCUUUCCCCUUUAACUUCAGCAGUUAAAUGGUUCUCUGUAAUGGAUAAUGUUGGUCUAAGCAUUGAACUUAUUUUUUUAUUCAGGUGUCAAGAUCUAUAGGUGAUGUUUACUUGAAGAAACCGGAUUUUUAUAGAGAUCCAAUCUUUCAACGAUUCGGAAACCCUGUUCCCCUUAAAAGACCAGUUAUCACGGCAGAACCCUCCAUCCUUAUUAGAAAGCUUAAGCCGCAAGACUUAUUUCUGAUCUUUGCAUCAGAUGGCCUAUGGGAACAGUUGAGCGAUGAAACUGCCGUAGACAUUGUUUUCAGAAACCCCCGAGCCGUGAGUAUUCACCUUUGUCUUAUUGGUUAAUUUAGUCUUCAUUAGCAGCUGGACUGAAUGACAGAGUAUUGAUUUUCAAUUUGCUUGUAUUACUUGCAGGGUAUUGCUAAGAGACUGGUAAGUGCUGCACUUCGAGAAGUUGCAAAGAAAAGAGAGAUGAGAUACGGCGAUAUUAAGAAAAUCGAGAAGGGAAUAAGACGGCAUUUCCAUGACGAUAUAACCGUAAUCGUCAUCUACCUAGAUCAACACCGAGGCUCUUCACAUAACAUAGUUAAACAUAAUGCCAUGGGGUGCACGACGGCACCAAUCGACAUCUAUUCAUACAAUGCAGAUGAAGGAUAUGAAGGAGAUUUACUUCAAACAGUUUCUUGAAUACACAAUAGAAUGAGUUAAUAUUAGGUUUAGCACACUGACUUUUUAUUCUUUUUCAAGUUUUAUUCAUGUAUAGAGAAACCAAAUGAUAGGGUGGAUUGGUCCUUAAACCAAUGUUUCAUUGGGAGAAAAAUAGAGUUUGGAAGGUAAUUUUAGCCACCUGAGACGGAUUCCGACUCUGGUGGCUAUAGGUGUUCCGGUUGAAGUUCUACCGGUUGCCGAAAAGGCUACAUUGUUUUAUUGGUUUAUUAAAUUUAUCGCUUAUAUUAUAUUUAAUUUGAAGUGAGUAACUAAAGACAAUUAAUCACGUUAUAAAUAUUUUUCUUAGUCAAUUAUACAUAAUUUUGAUCGGUGUAAUAAUAAAUUUAACUCUUAAUAUUCAUAUAAUUUGUGUAGAUAUUGAUAGAAUAUGUAAAUAUUGCAAAUUAACAUUGUUAAAUCAUGACCAAAUUGACAAAAUAUGUAAAUGUUAUGGGUUAAAUUUGUUAAAUCAAUAUCAAGUUGAUAGGAUAUGUAAAUAUUAAAAGUUAAUUUUGUUACUAUAUCGAUAGAAAAAGUAUAAUUGAUGAAAAAAUAUUAAUGUUAUGAUUAAUCGUUAUUAGUUGCUUACUUUCAAAAUUGACAAUGAUUAAAUUGCUCUGACUUUUUUUUAAAAUGAUCAAUUUGCUCAAAAUGAAAAUUGAGAGGAAUCUAAAAGUCUUUGUACCCCGUUCUUAUACAAUACCAUAUAUAAGUUGUGAAUUUAGUUUUUGUACAUUAAUUUAAUCAAUUUCAGUCUUUGUUCUUUUUAAAUUUAAAGUUUUAGUUAUAAUUCAAAUUGUAAAUGAAAUUCGUUUCAUUAUAUUAUGUUAUUGGUCUUAUACUAUAAUUACAGUUGUCAAUUUAAUUCAUAUUUUUUAAUUUUAUCUUUUUUAGUUGUUAUACUUUUAAAAUUUUAAUGCAAACGAAAAUAGUUAAAUCUAUUAAACGUAGAUUUACUAUGUGUGCAAUAUAUGAAAAUAGCAGCUAUUAUUUGAUCAAGACUAAAAUUGAAUAAUACGAAAAAUACAAAAAUUAAAAUUAAAUAAAUUAAAAGAUAGAGAUUAAACUCGCAAUUUAUUCAUAAUACAUGAACUAAUAACAUAAUUUAACUUAUUUUUCUUAAUACUCUUAAAUUAAAAAUGACACUUAAUAAACUACAGGAGUUAGGUGAAAUGACAAAAGUCUCUACUACAUUAACCAGUGGUUGAAAGUUUGAUCAUCAUAUUGACUCUUAGUCUACAUUUACCCUUUUAAAGGACUUAUAAAAUGUAAAAAAUUAAUUAUUUGACUCGCUCUAGGAACCUAAUAACACUACAAAGUUGGCUUGUAAUUUGUGUAUCUAAAACAAAAGGGAAAAAAUGUUUUGUGAGGCAAAUUCCUUCAAACUGAAAGACAUGGGAAUUUUGGCAACUGGAUAGCAAUAACCUAACUUGUUAGGUGAAACGAACCAAACUAAAGCAUAAACGACAAUCAGUUGCGCUAAAGUUAGGAUGUCUGUCACUUUUUAAUUUUUAUUAUACAACUUGCUUCACUAAACAAAUACUAUUUAAUGAACUUUUUAAUAUUCUCACUCUACUUUUCAAUAAUUCAUAAAGCUAAUAAAUAUAUUAUAUUCUUUCAAAUUACUUUUCUUUAAAUUAUUUUUUUCUUUAUUUUAAUUGAAAAUUUUUAUUGUAUUAAUUUCAUAAAAAUAUUCAAAAUUUUAAUUUAUUCUUUGAUUUCUAAAUGUGUUUAGACAUUAAAUAUUAGUUUUGAUAUGAUGUAAAGUAUGCCUAAAUUAAAUUGUAAAUUUAUGUAUACUUACAUCAUUAAUAACUUAAAUCUUAUGCGUUAAAAAAAUACUGUUAAUAAAUUUUAAGAUGAUUAACACUUUAAACUGUUAAAACGAUUUUUAAGUAAAAAUCAUGUUGGUACUCUAACCGGAAUGGUUAUACUCUAGCUACUUGGGUUAACUGAUAAUAUUAUAAAAAGUAGAGGAUUAAAUUACAUCAAAUAAAAUUAUGGAGAUUAAAUUUUAAAUUUGAGCAUAAUAGAGGGAUCAAAACUACAAUUUAACUCUUUUUAAGUUCAAAUAUUUUGUUAAAUGAUUAAAUCACUAUUUGAGGCUUGAACUUGAAACCUACUUCUAUAUUGGGGUUUGAACUUUUUUUUGUCUAAAUUGGUCUCUAUACUUAGUAAUUGUUCUUAUAUUGGGGUUUGAACUAGGCCAUUGUUUUUAGGGGUCGGGAUUAAAUUGUUUAAUUUUACAGUAAUAAAAAUGUAAUUUCACUAUUUUAAUAAUCUAUCUUUAUAAAUUUUAAAGGUUUAAAUCAAUUUUUUUAUCAUUUGAGAGGUUAAAGUGUAAUUUUACCUUAUUAAUUUAAAAUUUUAUAAAUUAUAAAGAGUUUAAAUGAAAAAUUUUCUAUUUUAGGGGAAGCUAGGAUCUUGCCAGCCCUAGCUUUGACUUGAACUUGGCAGUUGUUUUAGGGCUUAAACUUAACAAUUGUUCCUACAUUGAGGCCUAAGCUUUAGAGUUUUCAAAGAAACAUCAAAGACUAACUUGAAAAAAAAAAUUAAACCCCAAUAUAAAAAUAAUUACUAAAUUUAGGGACUAACAUAAAAAAAUUAGACCCAAUAUAAAAAUAGUUACCAAUUUUAGGAAAAAAAAAGUGAUUUAGCCCUUUGCCCAACCCCAUUCAAGUUACCAAACGAGAGGAAAAGAACAAAUUCCUAGAAAAUCUACAAUUUUGUGCGCUAGAAAAGAAAAUACAAAUAGUCGUUUCAGUAUAAUUUUCUCGGAAAAUAACCAAAACCCAGUCCUUUAAGCUUCAACGUCCAAAGAAAAAAAGAAUGACUGCAAGUCAUUUGGUUGCUGAAUCCGUGUGGAAAACAAUAGAGUCAACUCAUUCAGGUCUUUCUUUUUUUCCCCCCUUAUUUAUUCUUUCUCUGUAGAAAUUAAAUUCCAUCUUCUUCUUUUUUCCUUUUUUAAAUCCCUAAAUUUUGUGAUCUUAUGACCCAAAUUGGCCAGUAAAUGAAGAGCAACUAUCAAUGUAAGGAAUAAUCAUUUUCUUUUAAAUCUUUUUAUUCUUCGGCUUUUUAAAAUAAAAAUAAAAAUAAAAAUGGUGGGUAUUGAUUAAUUUUGAACUUUCUUUUAUUGUAGCUUGCAUUUUCUGUUUGGUAAAAACUUCGAGAGAGCAACAAGGAUAGUUGACCAAAGGGGUGUCAAGAAAAUCUCCGGUGAACCCAGUGGUCGUUUUAUCUUUCAGGUUCAUUCUCUUUGUUUCUAUCUCAAUUUUUGAAUAUUGGUCGAAUUCUCCUAUUAGUCCAUGCACUCUGCAUAAAUUGCAGAUUUAAUCCAUGUUCCUUGAUUUAAUGUUUUUAAUGAUUUUUUUUCUAAUUUUAAAACUUUAAUUUUAGUCUCAUGUUAUAUCUAUUUAAUUAAAUUAAAUUAUUUUAUUUCAGUUAAUAAUUAUUUUAUUCUAUAAGGUUAGGACAGAAAAAUCUAAAUAUUAUAAAAUUAAAUUGAUCAAAUUAAAAUAUGUAGACUAAAUCUGUAAUUUAGGCAUAGUAUAUAUAAUAAGGGCAGAAUUUGACAUAGAAUAUUUGGACAAGUCGGCUACCUUAUGUGAAAAAUGUGGUCAUUUUGGCAAAUAUUCCAUUUUAAGAACUUUCCUGGAAAGUUUUCUGAAAAUGUGAGCCUUGAGAUAAAACCCGAAGUAGAAUUAAGACACAUCAAUAUAUAUAUCCAUUUGUAUAUCUCAAUAUAUAUAUAUAUAUAUAACAUACGCAUGUCUAGUUAGAAUAUUUAGACAAGUUGUCGGCCACCUUAUCUGUAAAAUGUGAUCAUUUUGGCAAAUAUUCCAUAUUUAAGAACUUUCCUGGAAAAUUUUCUGAAACUAUGACCCAUCAAGGCUCUUGGCAGAAUCGUAAGAUAAAACCUGAAGCAGAAUUGAGACACAUCAAUAUAUAUAUCCAUUUGUAUAUCUCAAUAGAUAUACACAUACGCAUGUGUGGUUAGAAUAUUUGGACAAGUUGUCCUCUACCUUAUCUGUAAAAUGUGAUCAUUUUAGCAAAUAUUCCAUCUUAAGAACUUUCCUGGAAAUUUUUCUGAAACUAUGACCCAUCAAGGCUCUUAGCAGAAUGGUGAGAUAAAACCCGAAGCAGAAUUGAGACACUUCAAUAUAUAUCCAAUUGUAUAUCUCAAUAUAUAUAUACAUACGCAUGUCUAGUUAGACUAUUUGGACAAGUUGUCAUCUAUCUUAUCUGUAAAAUGUGAUUAUUUUAGCAAAUAUUCCAUCUUAAGAACUUUCCUGGAAAAUUUUCUGAAACUAUGACCCAUCAAGACUCUUAGCAGAGUCGUGAGAUAGAACCCGAAGCAGAACUGAGACACAUCAAUAUAUAUAUCCAUUUGUUAUAUAUAUACAUACGCAUGUCUAGUUAGAAUAUUUGGUCAAGUUGUCAUCUACCUUAUCUGUAAAAUGUGAUCAUUUUAGCAAACAUUCCAUCUUAAGAACUUUACUGGAAAUUUUUCUGAAACUAUGACUCAUCAAGGCUCUUAGCAGAGUCGUGAGGUAAAACCCAAAGCAGAAUUGAGCCACACCAAUAUAUAUAUAUCCAUUUGUAUAUCUCAAUAUAUAUAUACACAUACGCGUGUCUAGUUAGAAUUUUGGACAAGUUAUCUACCUUAUCUGUAAAAUGUGAUCAUUUUAGCAAAUAUUCCAUCUUAAGAACUUUCCUGGAAAUUUUUCUGAAACUUUUUUUUUCCCAUUGUUUGGUGCUUUAGGUUGUGGGAGAAUCUAGAAGAAAAGAAGAAUAUUUCUGUUUUGCUGAACAUUAUUGUGCUUGUUAUUCAUUCUUUUAUGAUGUAAUUAACAGAGCAGAACAGCUUUGUGUAAGAUUUCUUUAUUCCCUUUUCCCCCUUAUUUUAUUGCAUUUAAUAUAUAGGUAAAAAUUUUGAAAUUGAGCAAAUUGGUCCCUCUAAAAAAUUAUAGCAAUUUAUCUUUGUCAAUUCCGAAAGUGAGCAACUAAAAACAAUUAAUCAAAUUUGUUAAAUCAGAACAAAAUGGAAAGAAUAUGUAAACUUUGAGAGCUAAAUUAUUUAUUAUACCAAUUAAAUUUAUGUACAAUUGAUGAAAAACAUUAAUUUUGUGAUUAAUUAUUCUUAGCUGCUCACUUUUGAAUUAAAAGGGAUUAAAUUACUCCAAUUUUUUUAGAGGACUCAAUAUGCUCAAUUUGAAAAUUGAGAGGGACUGAACUAUAUAUAUUUGCUUUAUUUUCAUAUUUUGUUUUGUUUUUUGUAUAGUGUAAGCAUCAAUUAGCUGCAAGGCUUGCUGGAUCAUUGGGAGCUUGUAUUGAAGUUAAAGUGUCUGAUGAACAGCUAGCUGUAUUACUUUCAGAGCUCUAAAUUUUUGUAGUAAAAUCGUAGCGGGUCGGAUCCGAAAUUUAAUCUAGUCGGUUUAUGCAGUUACCUUUAAAGAAAUGACAUUUAAUAAAUAUGAUUUAAUUUUCGAUAAAUAAAAAUAUUGUUUGUAUGUUUCACAACAAAAAGAAUGAACAAAUUAUAAUCAUCAAAUCAAGGGACAAUAUUGUGAGUUUUCAUCUUUUUAAUCCAUGAAUUGAACGACGUUUUCGAGUUCCGGAACCCCACAAAUCCAUGUUCUUUGCUCUUGUUCAUGCUAUCCAACAGUGACUUCCCCGAAAGCACCGAAUCAACGAACUGCCAUGCUCCGGCAUCAUUCAAUUUCAUCGGCAAAAGAUCGUUCUCCCUCACGAUGUUGUCCCACACCGGACCUUUGUCUUUCAUCAUUUCAACCAAGCUUGGCACCUUCUCUUCGGUUUCUUGAAAUCCGUAGUGUUCGAUACCAAACUGGUCAGCUAACACUUUCCAUAAGUCCUUCCACUUGAACACAUCUCCAUUGCUACAAUUAAAGGCUUCGUUUUUUGCUCGCCGGCUCAUUGCUGCCCAUAUUUGAUGUUCUGCAAUCAAAUCCGCAUCCGAUGCAUCCCAAUACCCUUCCCACGCUUGUCGGUUCCCCGGAAACCUCAACGGCUCGCCUUCAUGCUUACAUAUCGCCGCGUAAAUGCAUAAACUCCGAACUAUAUUCAUCGAACUAAACGGAGAAAACCCAAAAACCAAUCCUGGCCUAUGACCUGACCAUGUCAAGUUCUCCUUCUGCUUCACUUCUUCCAACAAAACAUCCUCGAGCGUAUAACAAAAGUUUGACGAUUUAAGCCUCGGAAGAUCCUCGCGAAAAGGAGGAUCAUGCGGCUGAACAUGAUAUUUUCCGUACAAAUCAAUCGGACCAGUGUAAUGCCGCCGACCGGUUUGCAAGCAUAUAUGUUUCAACUUGGGUGAAUUCGGGAUUACCGCUUUCAACACGUUCCGUAACAUAGUGCCAUUGAUAACGCAGUUUUCAUCUUCAGUUGAUCUCUUAUCCCAUGCAACAUAAAACACAUGAGUCACAUCAUUAAGCUUUGAUAAUUUAUCAUAUGUUUCUUCUUCAUCUAAAACAUCGCAUUGUAUGUACUCAAUAGGCAAAUGACUAGUCGAGGCUGGUCGAGGCUGACGAGCAACACCGUAGACCUUCCACGGUCCGCCGGGAAUACCGGAGAACGGAAGAAUCUCGGCGAGACUGUUACCGACUAUGCCGGUGAUGCCAAUGACCAAAGCAACACUCUUGUAUUUGGAUUGUUUAUCAUGUUCUUCCAUUUUCUUCUGUAAAAAAAAAAAAAAAUCUGGGUUCAUUAGAUUAAAUGCAAAGAAAGAGAACCCAAAAAAAUGAAUGAGCAUUAACGUACCUUGGCAGCACCAAUGGCUCCUGCCCACCACCAACUCAUUGUAUGUUUUUUUUUUUUUUUUUUGCUAUUAAUGAAAAAAAUGCUGAAUUACAUCCUUAAACUUUGUCUGCAAUGUUUUUAUAGUGAUCCGCUUUGACAAAAGUGACGUGGGAAUUUAAAAAAGGAAAAAAAAACAAUCUUAUCUAUUUACAUAUAUCAACUACAGCUCAACAAGAACUUGUUAUCAAUUUGAUUUCUUUAUAAUAAUAAUAAUAAUAAUAAUAAUAAUAAUAAUUUUAGUUCGGAUAAAUUAUAAAAAUAAUCACUUUUGUUUGUCUCUGAUUACAUUUUAGUCACUUAUGUUAUCGUUUUGUUACGAAGUGGUUACUCUACCGUUAAACUCCGUUACCUCCCUAACGGUAGUCCUAUGUGACAAUCUAAAUGGAUUCUAAAUACCAACUUAGAUGUACUACGUGACAAUCUAAAUUAAAUUUAUUUAAUUAAAAAUCUAUUAUCAUCCCAAUUACUGGACAUUUAAAUUGUCAUUAAAAAUCUAUUUGGACUGCCAUGUAAGAUAACUGUUAAGGAUGUAAUGAAGCUUAAUAGUAAAGUGAUUACUUUAUAACAAACGAUAACGUAAGUGACUAAAACGUAACAUUUUAAACAUAAAUGACUAAAAUGUAAUAUGAGGCAAAUAACAAUGACUAUUUUUACAGUUUACCCUUUUAUUUUUAAUUUAUUUGAAUAAACAUGGAUACAACACAUAUAUAUUAUAUAAAAUAAAUUAAGUGGCGGAAUUUUUUUAAAAAAUUCAGAAAGGACGUGGAAAAUGGGUUAAUUGAUGAAUAAAUGUGUAAAUCCUUCAAUAAUUGAAUUGGUCAUAUUAUUAUUAUUAUUAUUUAUUUUUUAAAACCGGCCAACACAUAAAGACUAAGGAUUAGACAGCUAGUAAACACAUCAGCAUAUAAUAAGCUUGCGUGGAGAACCUAGCGUCUAAGGAAACAAUACAUCGUUAUCUAUUCACUAAAUCUUCUAAUGCUAUGCAAAAAAAGGAUAGAAUUUUGUGAAUUUUAUAAUUGGAAAGUUGGAUUAUGUUCGGUUUGUAUUUAAGGAUAGGAAAUUAAUAUGAAAUUUGGCUCUUUUUUUUUUUUUAAAUUGUAUUCCAAGUUAGUUUUUUACAUAAGUCAAACAAAACAUUUUAAGAAUAUUUCUUUUAAGCGGAUUGAAUUUUAGUUUAAUUAGCAUAAGUAUUAUUGUUAAUAUCAGAGAAUAUAGAUUUAAGUAUGUUGAAACGUUAGGUCCGUUCUUGACAUUGUUGGGGCCUUAGAGAAAAUAAUAAAAUAGGUUUUAAGUUCCUUAAAAGUUAGAGAAUUUUAAAAAAAUAAUUUUAGGCUCCUUAACAACUAGAAAACAAUAUUUUAGACCCCUUUCAGUCUUGGGCCUGGGAGGCCGCACCUCCAGAUAACCCUCAGAGUCGACUUGUAAAGUGCAUUAUCCUCUUAUUUAUAGGUUCGAGUGGGAUAUGAUUAGAAUCUAUAAUGAGAUUGUUAAAAAAAAUAAUUUUAAAGCAAAAAAGUUUUAAGAUGGAUUGUGAAUUUAAGGUUUUUUUUAAUGGUUACAAGUUGCUUGGAAACAAAAUAUUAGUAAAUUAGAACAGAAAAAUAAAUAAAUAAAUUGAAAAAAUUUAGUUUGCCGAUAUGAUAAAUUAAUUUUGUUUAACAUUCGUUGUAACAGCGGUUAGAACGAAAACAAGCAACAAAAAAAAAAGAGAAAAAAAGAACCGACAUAAUUAAUCUUUGUUAACGCAAUUUACACACAGUGGUCCCACAUUUGUGGAAUUUCGCCCAGUGAAUAAUUUUAUUCAACAAUCGUUCGGAUCACCUAUUGGCUUAAACUCAAUUACCUUUACACAAAAGAAGUAAUUCAAGCUUCAAUACUGACCCCUAUUGUCACAAAUCACUCACCCAAAUACCUCAUAAUAUGAUAGACUUUAAGCUCCUAUUUAAAAGCUGAAAUUAUCUCAUUGAUCGUCCUGAGUCUUAGUACCCUAGGGUGAAUCAAACUCAGUAUAAACGAAACCUAUUCAAGGCCCAAAUCAAUACCUAAGUAGAGAAACAGUUUCGUUAUAAUUGGACAUAAAACGAGCAGCAAUUAUCCCAACAAAAACAUAUUGUGGAGAGCAAGCUAAAAGAGAAACUUAUUCCUAAGUUGGCAAAUGCAAAUGCAAUUGCUCAGCUGUUUGUUUCAUGCAAAACUUAGUUGGCAAUUAACAAAUUCAAAUAGGCUCAACAUCUUUAACCUAAUUGCAAUUUGAAUUCCUUCCUUCAAAGAAAUCCUUCAACAUUUUUAUCUCUUUGUGCAAGCACUAUUGUAACAAGUCCAUCUUCUUAGCUUUCACUAGAGUCAUCUUCUUAGCUUUCACUAGAGCAUCUGUGGUGAUAUGGAGUUUACAGUAAACCUUAUAAGAAUGGGGAGUAACAAUCCUCUUUUGUCCGAUGACUCUUUUGUUUUGGGUAAGAAAUUCCAAAAUUCAUUUUACCUUCUUUCCAUGAAGAGCAAAUGAAAGUUGUGUUAUUGUUUAUGAGAAUGCAUGAAAGUGAUCUAGAGUUGAGUCGAGUUUUCUUUACUAUCUUUUUAGAUCAAUCUUGUACAUUUUAUACCAUUUGUCAUAUAGAAUUUUGGGUUAACUUCGUUUGGCCCGCAAAAUUGAUGUUAUAUGUCACGUUAAACAUUCUAAAAAAGUAAAUGGUAAAUUGGAUUAAUGGUCAUCCAAUUAUGAUUUUUUUUUUAAUCACCCAACUAUAAAAAAUUACAAAAUGGUUAGUCAAUUACUAGUAAAUUUUUUUCUUUUUUUUGUCAUUAAAAUAUGAAAAGUGACAAAAUGAUCUCCAUUAUCACUUUAACCGAUUGGUGACUAAAAAAACAUUUGAAUAAUUAGAUGACUAUUUUGUAAAAUUUUCAUAGUUGGGUGACACAUCCUAUUUGAUAUUUAAAAAUAUAUAUAUAACGACCUUGAAUACAUGGUAUUAGAGCCGCCUAUGAUUGCAAUUCCACAUUGAGUGCCCAUAGGUUGGAUCAAUAGGUACUCCGAGCCAAAAUCCUAAGUGUGUAGUGGUAGAAAAUAACGACAAAUACCCAUGACAAACGCAAUACGAGUUUAGAUGGAGAAGAAUAUUAAGCGAAACACUAAAAAAUUAGAUAACAUUAUUAAUACCACAUCAGAAAACAAGUACACUUGAACGCUCUAGGAAAGCAUAUGACUAAUAUCACUAGGGGGGUUUAGCUAGGUACAGCUGAUGGUCCCAAGUUGAAAGGGACUCUUGAGUAUAGCUGAUGUUUUGACCUUAGCCCUAUAUGGUAGGGGCAAAACACUAUCUAUCGGGUGUGUCCGCACCCAAUGAGAUAGAUUUUUGGUCAUCUAGACUGAUCGGUCUAUGGACGCCUCUAAUCCAGCUGACUUAUCCUAUUUUAUACACAAAAAUGUUGAAAUCUCUAGAUAAUGAAGAGUAAACUAAAAACAAAUAGCUUCCAUUAACAAGGCAUGGUGUUAGAGUUUAGGGUUUAGAACUAAUAAAGAAUCAUGAUUGCAAGCCAAACCUGGAUCAUUCAUAUACAUUAGAUGACAAUGAUCUCUGUAAGUUUUUGCAUUAAAACUAGGUUUGAGGAAACAUCAAAAAUGAAAAUCCAAUUUUCAGACAUAAAAUACUUCAUUAAUUACAUUAACAAAAGGCCUAUCAAACAUUCCUUUAGAAAACAAUUUUGAAAAGACACUGUUAACUGCACAUAAUGAUUUAUAUUUGACUUGUAUAAAAGCAAUUGUACAUACCUUUUCAAGAUUUUCAAUUCCCCUCUUUCUUGUUUCAUCUGCUAUAUAAUACAAAGUUCCCCAUCAGCUACAUGCAUAGCUAAAUAGAGCUUUAGGCAUUCAAAAAGCUAAAGAAUACAUGUUGGCCUCGAGGAAACACACAGAAUUGUGCACAACGUCACAUUUCAACUUUCUCUGCAUGCUUGAAUUGAUGAACACAACGAACAGUGCUAACACAAUACUAAAAAGGUUUUCUUUAUGGAAGACAAAUUUCUAUGACCAUUUUUCCACAAUACGCUCUGAUAAUCUAAUUUCCUCAUCCUUGGAAAUAUGUGGAUCUAGCUUCUGAAGGCUGUCAAUAAAUGUCUUUGCCUCAUCACGCCGAUUGAGUUUACAAUAUCCAUCAACUAUGGAAUUGUAUGUAUUCUGGUUUGGUUUACAGCCGUGCUUGAUCAUGAAUUGGACAACAUCAAUGGCUUCCUCAAACAAGGAAUCAGCUGCAUAACUUGCAACAAAGGUAUUGUAAGUGAUAACAUCUGGAACAAGGCCGGAAUCACUCAUUUCUGAAAAUAUCCGAGAAGCCUCUUUCAUUCGACCGUUUCUACAAUAGGCAUAAAUAACAGUGUUAUACGAGAUUAUAUCUGGUUUUAUUCCUUUUGCCUGAACUUCCCUUAAAAUUUGUUCUGAUUCCUUGAACUUUUCAUAGCGGCUAUACAUAUACAUCAAACUGUUGUAGGUCGUCAAGCUCGGAGUAUACCCACACUCAUUCAUGAAGUUCAAGAUCUCGUUUGUCUUGGAAACCAUCUGCCUCCUGCCAUAUAUGGAGAGCAUGGCAUUUAGAGUAGUUAUGUCAGGUGGAAAUCCUUUCUUCCUCAAUUCCAAGAAAGCACGCUCUGUGUCCGCAAGAAGGUCACAUUUACUAUUAACCAAAACAAGAGUCUUUAACAGCACAGCAUGAGGUUCGAUGAUACCAGAGUAUAUCUCUUCUGCUAGGGCAUGCAUCUGAUCUACCUGCUUCCCAUUGGCAUAAACAUGAAGCAAAGAACAGUAGGUUAGCUCAUUGGGUUUGCAACGACCGUCUCUCAUUUCAGCCAGUAUUUUCUCAGACUGCUUCCAAAGCCCUCCCCGUGCCAAUGCCGCCAAAACAGCAUUAUAUGUAGAAAGGUCGGGGGUAACUCCAGCUUCCAGCAUUCUCUUAUAAAUAGCCAUGGCUUGAUCAAAAGCACCACAGCGACUGUAUGCACUAAUUAAAGUGUUGAAUGUGUCCCUUUCAGGUACAAACCCUGCCCUCUUCAUCUCUUUGAACACUCCAGACACUUCUACAUCCAUUCCAUUUUGCCCAAAUACUGCCAAUAGCGUAUUCCAAGUAACAAUAUCCGGUGCACCAUUGCAUGCCUUGAUCUCGUCAAAAAUCUUCAUCAUCUCAGUGAACUUCCCGCGGUUACCGUGCAUCUUAAUUAGAGCAUUGAAAGUGCAAAUAUUUGGCUUGCAACCAGAAGUUCUCAUCUCCUCAAAAACCGCCAUUGCAGACUCAUCUUUUCCAGCCUUGGCAAAUCCCGACAAAAGAGUGGUAUAGGUAAAAACAUCAGGCUUAAUCCCUUUUCCCUCCAUCUGUGUUUUCAAGUCCAUUGCUUCCUCCAACAAACCAUCCCUAGCAUAAGCGGAAAUCAACGAAUUAUAAGUCACAAUGCUAGGGGCAAACCCAUUAAGUUCCAUCUCUUUUAAAACCUCCAUAGCUUCCUUCGGACGCCGAGACUUCCCAUAAACAUCCAACAAUGCAUUGUAAGUAACAUUAUCUGGACUAAAACCAGCCAAUUUCAUUUCAUCGAAAACCGAAGCCGCUUCCUCAUGCAAAGACCCUCGACGACAGCUACUUAUAAGCGUAUUAUAAGUAUAAGCAUCAGGGGCAAUUCCAUCACUUUUCAUCCCAUCAAAAAGAGUCAUGACCUUACUCCAAGGCAUGCCCAUUUUACCAUACACAUUCAAAACCACAUUAUAAGUUAUCAAAGUAGGCUUACAGCCCUCUUCCUCCAUUUUCUUAAAAACCACCAUGGCUUCCCUAUACCUCCCACUACCAGCAUAAGCAGUUAUCAAUGAAGUAUAAGCAUAAACAUCAAGACUAAACCCUUCUUUGUGCAAACCAUUAAACAAAUUAGCUGCAACAGAAACCCUCCCCUCUUUCCCUAACAUACUGAUAAUAAUAGCAACAACAGAGCUAUUCAACACCAAUCCACAAUCAUUUCUAGCUCUAACCCAAUUGAAAACACCCCAAGCCAAGUCAGAUUUCUUGUAAAAACCCAAAGCUUUAACAAUUCCCACCACUUCCGCAGCCAAAAAAUCAGCUUUCACAUCUGGGUUUUCUUGGUAUUGUUCAAACAAUUUACUCAAAACAACAUCAAGUUGAUUAGAAUCAAAAGAAGGUUCAAUUAAGGAAUUAAGAACCUGCUGACCUUGAGCAGAGAGGUUGUUAUGAGUCCAACGCUUCCCACGGUUGACGUCACGUGACCGGCCGAGACGGUUCCGGGUCCAGACUUGUGGGUCGAUUUGUUGUUGGGACUUAGAAUUAUGUCGAAGAAGGAGGUCUUGAAAGACUGGAGUCGAGGGAGCAGGUGAAUUGGGCUGUGAAGUUGGGUUUUGUUGAGUGAAGUGAGUGUGGUUUGAUAAUGGGGUUUUAACAGGUGGGGGAUUUGGAAGGAGAAGAGGGAGAGCAAGCCUCUCUGCCAUUAAAGAGAGGAUAAGAAAGUUGCAGCCUUUGUAUCUAUGGCUGAGUUAGAAAUAGAGAAGGAGAAAAAAAAAAAAAGGGUAAUUGAUAAUUUUAGCAAACAGUUGGUGUGCGCUUUCGUUAUUACUUGCAGAGUCCACAACCUUUCUUCUUUUUUUUUUUUUAGAAGUCUAAGGUUUAAAGGGGGACAUGACAAAGAUAUAAGGAGGAUAUUUUAGGAGGGAAAGGGAGAUUAUAUUCGUCUGUGGUUAAGAAUGGACUAUUGAAAUAUUCUGACCAAUAAAAGGUUGCCACGUUAACUCUGAAGGCGGACUCUUAAGUCAAAAUUUGUGACGUUUGCCCUUCAGGCUUAAACCUCUUCAGAUAUUUGAUUUUAGGAUUAGUAAAUACAAAGUUAGUUCGACUUAGACAAAUUAUACUUAUUUAAACAUUUUUUUAAUCAAAUUCAUAUCAAAAACUACAUAUUUUUAACUGAAAAUGAUUUCCGAUAAUUUAUAUUUGUUUUAUGAAAAAUAAUUUAAUCAAUAAAAAAUGACUUAUAGAUUAAUAAAAAAUAAUAUAUUUUUCCUGAAAAUUGAUUUAUCAUUUUGAAAAGGGUAAGUCAUUUUCUAUAAAAAAAAACUCUUUUAUUUUUAUAUAAAAAUUAAUUUAAAGUCAAGCUUAAUACUAUUAUAUUAAUAAUAUUUUUUAAAUAUUUAAAAUAAAUAAAAUAAUAUUUAUAUUUUUUAAUAUUAUUAAACAUAAUUAUUUAAUUAUCUAUAUAUAAUCAUAAUAAAAAUAAAUUUAAUAAAUUAUUUAAUAUUUCAAUUUUAUUUUAAAAAUAAAUUUUGAAAAUAAUAAUUUUAAAUGAUAUUAUUCAUAUUGUAUUGAAAAAUAUUCAAUAUUAAUAUUUUAAUAAUAAAUGUUUAUUACAAUUAUAAAUAUAUUAUUGUUAAAUAUUUUGUAGUAUAAAUGUUAAAAUAUACCAUAAGUAUAUAUACUCUUCACAAAUUUUAAAUUUAAUCCCUAUACUUUUAUUUUCAAGAAUUUAGUCCCUUUACUUUUUAUAUUUGAAAAUCAAGUCCAAUUGUUAACAUUGUUAAACUUUUUUGUCAAUUUUGUUGAUGUCACAUUUUUAAAUAAAAAAUAAUCAAUAUUCAUGUAACUAAAAAAUGACGUUAUAAUUAACAUGAAUUUAACAAAAUUAAUAAUGCUAAUAGAUGAAUUUUGAUGUCUAAAAAUUAGGGCUAACCCCAAAAUAAAAGCACAUGGACUAAAUUUCAAUUUUACGAAGAAUAUAAGGACUUAAGACAUACUUUAACAUAGUAUAAAAACAUGUAUAUUUUAAUUAUAUAAAUAUGAGUAUUUGUUUAAAUAAUCCUUAACUUCAUUUAUCCCUUAAAACUCUAAUGUGUCAAUAUGUACUCUCAUAUAUGUAAUACAUAUAAUUUAAAUUAAGUUUUAAUUAAGCAUUAUUUAUUAUUAAGUUUAUAUAUGACAUUGAUUAUUACAAAAUAUUUUCUUAUUAUUAAAUAAGUUUCGAUUGUCAAAAGAAAAUUGCACUGUAAUAUUUUAUAACAAAUAUAUCUAUGUCGUGUUUGCUUUACAAAGAACAAUAUAAAAUAUAAAUUUAUAGACUCAAUUAAAUAAUGGAAAUAUAAGAAAAUAUCACAUGUAUGUUUAUUUAAUUGAAAACUAUUUUUAUGAAAUAUUUUCAAGAAAUCUGUCAAAUAUUUUACGUAGAUUCAUCCAAUCACCAGAAAAUAUUAACUUUUCCAAAAUAAUAAUUCAAUUUUUAGAAAUAAUUUUUCGAAAUCAAUUUUUAGUGAAACAAACGAAACCUAAACUUGAAAGUCGUAAGUUAACUUAAUGUUUUUUUAGGUACUUAAUACUAUUAAAAAUAUGUUGACAUGACAGUAACGAUCAAUGGAAUUGUGACAAGUGAUAGCCUCACAUUUUAACUCGUGGCAAAAAUAUAUUUAUUAUAAUAUUUUUAUUUAUUUUUGCCACGUGUUGAAAUGUAAGGCUAUCACAUGUCACCAUUAUAUUAAUAUUGCUUUUAAAAAGCACUUCUAAGAUAAUAAUAAAAAAAACUUUUGAAAUAGAUGCUUUUAAGCUUUUCAAAAGUGCUCUUACGACCAAAAAAAUAUUUUGAAAGCAUUUUUUUUACCAAAAAUAGAAGCGAAAAGUUUUAGAACACAGCCUCGUCCAUGGAGCCAUUCCAAGCCAAAGAUUGUUAAAAGCUAUUGGUACUUGAUUAGGAAUAGAUUUAAUAACAUUCAUAAACAUUAGAAAUGCACUAAUAAUCUUUGCAUUAAACAGUCACUACAAUAUUAAGAAAUCCAGAAACAGAAACCCUUAAGGUACUUUCUAUUUGCAAAUUGGAGGAGGAACUAGGCAUUGUUUUUCUUCAAUAUUUUCAACAAAAAAAGAUAGGCUCCAAUAGACAAAGGUUAUUUGCCUAUUUCGCAAACUGAUUUUGCUCUCUCUCGCCUUCUCUAGAAUCCAUCAAAGAAAGUGAGGAUUAAUCAACCCGGCGAUUUCAAGAAAUUCGACACGAUCUUUGCCUCCGAAUAUCUUCUUCAGCUUGUCAUCGCAAAUUAUAAACCUCUUGUUAUUGGGGUCCUAGAGAAAUUGCAAGAAAGAAACAAGUCAGUUAUAGGCUAAUAGCUUGGCAAUGUAAAACAAAAGAUACAGAGCUUGAAAUGCGUAUUCGAUUUCUAAAGUGAAACUAGCUAAAGUCCGUGAUAGCUCUCGUUCACAACCAAAGAUACACACACCACUCGCAAGUCACAACGCUUAUCUAGUAAGGAUCAGCGGCAUACAUACAUACAUAUAUAUAUGAAACAUUUCUCAGGCAGGAAUACUAGUAAAGCUUUGAGCCAUCAGCUUCCGAGCUAGUAGUCAAAUGCAGAACAACCAAAACAAGUUUGUGUAAAGGUCAUUAUGAUGAAUACCAAAAAGGCAGGCAACAACAUUAAACUUGUCAAGGUAUCGGCUUUCUAGGCUCGAAAGCUUCUCUUGUAUUCAAGAAGACUUAACUGUCUGCAAGGCCAUCACUGGCAGAAUAAAGAUACGACUCUUACACAAAAGAAUCUAAUCGAGAUAUGUAGAUAACUCAUAACAAAGAAGCCGAUAGAGCAUUAUAAUCAAAUAAACUACACAUCUAGACUAUGUUCAUUGACUUCAAAUACAGAAACCCAUCUAUAAAAUCCAGAGUUCCAAAUUCCUAAAAAUCUUAAGGCAAAUGUAUGAAAAUCACCCAAUAGAAUUACUGUCAGUACCAUAUCUGUAUGGAAGAAGAUAGAGCAUCAACCAUGAAGCAGCUUCAUAAACAGCUAAAGAAAAUUUUUUUAUCCAUAAAGCAAAACCCAAAGCAAAUAAAUCUGAACUUCAUACGUUUAGAUAUACAUUCACUCACAAUAACCAGAAAUAAAGAUAGAAUUAAAAACCCAUUCAAAACCUCCAAAAACUCUUAAUACAUUUUCACAGCAAACAAACACAACCAUAUAGUUUAAAGAGGCAACGAAAGCAGCUAAUGGACCUGAAGAUUGUGCUCUUUAAUAUAAGCCCAAAUCUGCUUAAGAACUUCAGUUCGAGGGAUUUCCGGGACUCCCACGAGAGCUUGCAUCUCAGGCGACACAGGGCGGGGCUUCAUUAUGCCACGUGGCUUCCGGGGACCGCUGUCAGUCUUUGAAGCCGUGGCUUGAGUCAGGGUUCGUACCAUGCGCACGUUAGUUGGAUGAAGAAGACGGAGAGAAGAGGGUUUGCCCGAGAACGACACCGUUUGGGGCGAGACAAAAGUGGAAAAUGUGGCCGAAGAGACAGCCAUUUUUUUUCUUCUUAGUUUGUCAGGAAGAAACUGAAGAACGGAGGGGAUUUGUGGUGUCCUCUUUGUUUCUGGAAAUUUGUUUUUUGUUUUUUUUUUUCCUUUUUUGAGAAUGAGAAUAAAACGAAGAAGAUGAAUUAUCUGUUUUCUUUUAAUAUUUUAUUAAUUUUCUUUUUAUAUUUAAAUGGUUUUGAAUUUUUUUAAAAAUAUAUAUUAUCCCUAAACUGCGACCCAAUAUCUUUGGGCCAUGGACAUAAUUAAACCAUUAUCAAUAUUCUAGAAAAUUCCCAUUUGUUUUGGACUUUGGUCAUAGUUAAAAAAUAAGGGAAAUGGGCUGGGCUCUUUCGGAUCCAAGGCUAAUUCCAUCCACAUAUCAAAAAUCUUGUUCUCAAUUCCUCUUACUAUUAAAAUAUUCAAUUUAGUACUUAAAGUUUUAUUUAUUAAUUAAAUCGGUAUUAUCAUUACAUCUGACUCUAAUGGUAUUUUUUUUUAUGAUAUGGCACAUAAUCCAAUUAAAUUUUAACUGUCUUAUCAUUGCAUCCGAUCAUUUAUUGGUUUUUUUUAAAUAUUUUCAAUAUAUUAAAACAAUAAUUAAAAGUAAAUAAUUAAUAUCAUGCUAAAAAUCACAAGCACCAAUGAAACAAUGUUAUAUAAUUUUUUUAUUUUUUUUAAAAAAUACUAUUUUACAAUCAUUCUAUUUAAUAUCUUCUCUAAUUUAAUUUUGAGAUUCUUAUUUUCAUUGCAUUUGUUCCAUGUGGGAGCUUAACCGUCACAUCACAUUACCAUUUAGCUUCGAUCGCCUCAUUUCAUUAUAUAUAAUGUUUCACUAAGAUUUGAGAAACAUGUAAGCUAAUCAUUCUUGAUAAUCAAAUUACUCAGACAUGACAACCAUCACUUGUCACCUACAUAUCUUUCAACUUAAGUGAUGUCACAUUUCUCACCUAAUAAUGAUCUCAGAAGGACCUAACUAACCAACCGAAACGAGACGCAUGUUCGAUAAGAUCAACCUAUAUAAGAGCCUCUCUCGCUCUACACUCUUUUCCCAUGCCCAUCUCAAACUUUUCUUCUCCUUUACCUUCUUCAUCACAUACGGUAUGACUUCCCAGCCAACCACCCUAGCAAGGUUAACUAACGUUGCUUCUUAGUAUCAACAACAUUAGUUUGAGAUUCAAUUUUACUUUUGGUUCAUUUUUCUAUCGAACUCCAUUGUUAUAUGGUUCAUAUGGUUUUACAACUUAAUAAAAAUCAAGAGAAAAGAUUUAUUAAUAAUAAGAUUUUAGUAAAAUAUCGACAACCUAGAUAAGUUAAAGCAAUCAUUUUUAACCACCAAUUUGUAAUUAAAUUUAAAUAUUGAGUUAGAAUGAUAGUAAAAUUCUUUUAAUAUUUGACUAAAUUAUUGAUUUGGUAUACUUGAUUAAACUAAGCAAAUGAUCAGUGAGUUGACUUAAUCCUGAGUCGGGCCGAUGCAAAAUUUUAAGUUUUUUUUUAGGUUCAAGUUCGGUUAAAAUUCUGUCUAAAUCCGGUCCAAAUUAAAAAUGUUAAACUCGAGUUCGACCCGACUUGCCUGUAUUAAUUUUUUUAGAUUAUUUUUGUAUAAAAAUAAAUUUAAAAAAUAUAAUACAUCAAAUACACUAAAAACAUUAAAAUAAAUGUUUCCUAACAAAAUUAAAAAUACAUUAAAAAAUCUUUAUACUUAAAUAGCACUAAGAUAUUUGCAACUUAACGAGUAAAUGCCUCUAAAAUAGUAGUAAAAUUAACAAUAAAACAAGAGUUAUACAAUAUCCAAACAAUAAUAACAAAAUAGUAGCAAAACAAUAGCGAAACAACAAAAAAAACAACUUAUUCGAACCAGGCUUGGGAACAAAAAUCCUACCUAAGACUCGAUUCCAUUUAAAAAACGGGUUUUAUUUUUUGUUUAAGCCCAUUUCAGGGGCCUAUAUUUUUACAAAAAUUCUCUCACUUUUAAGACAGACCUUCAAAUCUGGACGAAUAACUUAACCUAUAAUCAGUUGUACUAAUAAGGAGCUACUACUAUUUCACUUUUAAUAUCGUAAUUUGUAAAGGUAUACAAUCACAACACAAUAUAAGUAGAAAAGUUUUAAAUAGGCAACCAAAAAGGGUUUUAGUUGCAAAUAAGGGAUUGUUGGUAUAAGUAUUAAAUUUAAGUUUUCUUUCAUAUUAUUCUACAUUUAAAUUUUAUUAUAUAUAUUCCAUUUAAAUUUUUUUGAUUUAUAUUCAAAUAUAUUUUAAUUUUCAAUUAGUUACACUUUAUAUUAAAUGCUCUAUAAUUCUAAUUAAUCAGACCAGCUUUCUUUAUGAUCUAUUUGUAUUCUUCUUCUUCUUUUUGAAUAAUCUUAUAAUAAGUUAUUAUCGUUUCUGUUCUUUUUUGACAUAAUAUCUAGAAUUACCCAUAGUUCCUUCCCAAUCCAUAAAUAGAAGGAAAAUAGGCUUCUGCAUACUCAAAUCCACAUCCUCCUAUAUUAACAACAAUGUCUAUACUGAUUGAGUCUCAAUCUGACAAUCUAUUUGUACUCUUUAAUGCUCUAACACUUUAAAAAGGGGGUUUUAGUUGAAGAGAGCUCAUGACACUUAAUCUCACCAAAACAGGUCAAAUGAAAUGAAACCUUACUCUAAACAUGGCCUUUCAAGACAGACCAAAUGUUACAAACACAAAGCACAUUCGAGUCUCGACAUCCUCUUUCAUGUCAUUUUUCAGUUUCUUCUUAUGACAGUAACCUUAAUUGGUACGAAAUUUGAUUGAGAGAUAGCUUUUGAUUAAACCACAUGCUUUUGCAGUUGAGAAAAAAAAGAAUAAAUAAUGCCAUAAAAAGUUCAACUUCAAUUCAUCUUUGUGGAAAGAAAUGAAUGGGCCAACAGGAGGAGGAUAACCAGUUCAUAUCACUUUAUAUUUACAGAUAAUGACCGUUGAACCGAUGGGGUCCCUCUUCCCCCUUCUAUUGCUUAUUCUCUAAGCUGCUUAUGGACCACUUUUUAAUUAGUUUUCUGGUUAAUUAAUCGAGCUUCCUUGAACUAUUAUUUAGAUUUUAAAUCGAUCCUUAAACUUUAAAAUAUCAAUAUUGAUUUAAAUUUGUUUCGGGUUAAUUGUAAUCACAGGUGUAUUUAUUAUAUGAAUAACUUAAAUUUGACAUGUUAAAAAAAUAUAUCGAGUCAUUAAAACUUAGGUUUUUUUUUUUUAAUAUCAGAUUUGGUAUGCCUGUGUAAUAUGUACACAUAAGUUUAUAAUUUGAUUUUUGUGUUUUAAAUAUGUUUUAAGUUAGAUUUGAGUUUAUAUUUAAGGCCCUAGCUAAUGACCAAACUAACAGAAUGAUUUGAUUGAUAUGAUAUCGAUAAUUUGAGGACUCAAUUUAAACUCGAGGAUAUAGAGAAUUUAAUUAAAACGUUUUGAAGUUUAUGAACCAAUCUAAGAUUUGAGACAUAAUUUAAGGAUGCUUGAUAUAAUUAAUUUUGAAUUUAAUUUUUUUAAAUCAAUAAUUUUGUGAAAAUAGAUACUUGAAUUUUAGAUAAAAAGCUUUCUAAAUGGGUUUUUGUUAAAUUACUUCAUUUUAAAGGAGAUAUGAUAAUAGUUUUUUCUAUUUUAAUAAAUGGUUGAGGGUUCAAUCUUUACCUUAAAUAUAAAGUAAUUUUAAAACUCGUAACCAGAUUAUACCCAUAAAUUAAUCUCUAAAACUUGAAUGAGUAGUCCCAACUUGAAAAACCAUAAAAAGAAGAUUGAAAGUUUCCAUCCACAUGCAAAACCAGAAAUGACUAUAAAAGCAUCACAUAAAAAUGGUAACCUCAUUUAUUAAAUGAUUAUAUAUCUAUAAUAUAAAUACAUUUAUUAAAAGUUUAUAUAAAAAAUUAAAAUUAACUUUAAUUAAAAUGAAAAAACAAAGGAUUUAUAUUAAAAUUUAUUAUGAGUGAUUUAUUAUUAAUUUAAAUAUAUAUUUAUAUAAAAGUUAAUUGAAUUUUAGUUCAAUUGAUAUGGACAUUAUUACUUUUAGAGAAGGACGGGAAUUUGAAUGCGUUGAAGUGCAUUACAUAUAGUAAAUCGUAUAAGGUAUAAAAAUCUUGUUGAAACUGGUAGGUGAUAAAUAUAAUGAUAAAACAUUAUUAUUUUAUGUUUUAGGGGUGCUUUAGAAAAGUUUGGAUGAAAACAGUUUAAAAUUUUUAAAACCCAAAACAAUUUAAAAUGCAUCAUUUCAAGAUAUUAAUAUCUUUAUUUAUACUUUAUAUUAAGAGAUUUAUUGAGUUAGUGUCAUUUAUCAAUCGGUCUCAAUUCGAUUAAAAAUUAUCAAAAAUUUAUUCUUUUGAGUUAUGGUGUGUUUGAUAAACUCAAAAUGUAAGUGCUGAAAAUUUAAGUACGGAAUUUUUAUUGCUAAAUUUUAUAAAUGCUGAAUUUAUAUUAAAAAAGUAUUUGAUAAAUUAGUAUAUAUAACUAUUGACUAUAAUUAUAUUUUUUAUAAAAGUAAAUAUUAAAAUUUUAUUUAUUAAUAUAAUAUUUAUAUUAUUUUAAUUAGUUUUGAAUAAAAGAUACGUAUGGUAAUUUGAAUAUCUCCUUUUUUUUAAAUUAAAUAAAAUAAAAUAAACUUAAUAUUUUAUACUAAUUAGUAGCUGACUACGUACUUAUUUUAUUCAGCACUUUUUUGUUGAAAAUUUUAAUUAUCAAUUAAAUGAAAAUUUUGAAUAGUUUAUCAAAUAUACCUUUAAUGUCACGCGUCUAAACUUUUAUAUCAAUUUUUAAUAAACUUAUUAUAUGAAUAUUCUCACAUAUAUCACGGAUGUACAAUAAUCUAGUAUUGUUUAUGUAUUUUAAAUAUAUUCUAGAAUAUUAAAAUAAUUUUCUUUAAAAAAAAAAAGUUGUUUUUUGAGUUCUGCUUAUUGUAGUGGGUCAUAUAAAAGUUAGAGAAGAUUUGGUCAAAUUUUAUAGAAACAAAUUUUCAUUUUUAUAGAGAAUUUGAGACCCUCUAAUUUCCUCAUUAGAUCAUUUUCUAAAAAAUUAAAAUUUUCAUUUUAUUUUAUCCUUUUAAUUUUUAAUUUAUUUGUGAACUUUUAAAAAUCCUUUAAGUAAGCCUUACCAAAUUUACCAUAAAAAAUCCAAACUCAUCCUAAUUAUUUCAGUAGUAAAUAAGGCCCCAUGCUUAAAUGCAACCAUGAGCGGCUAAAACUGGAUGGGACCGAUUCAUUAAACACCAAAACAUGAACCCUUAAUUAUCCUAUGCACUAGUAAAUUGGGUCAUAGUUCAAUUGAUAUUGGUAUUAUUGUUAAUGUAAGAUGAUAUUGAUUCGAGUGUAUUAAAGUGCAUUAUCCUCCUAUUUAAAGUUUACAGAAGAAUUAUGGAUAGUUCUAGGCAUUUUAUUAAGAAGAGCAGAUAUGAUAAGAACCUAUAAUGGAAUUAAUAUUUAAAAAAAAUUAUGUGAUGAUGUAGGUUAAAUUCUAUCAAUUUUGGAUUAUAUUUACAUUCGAUAAUUAUAUUAAAUUUAAAUUUUAAAAUAAAUUUAAUUAUACCAAACAUUCCCAAACUAAAAUUCAAAUUCUAGAUUAGUCUCUAAAAUUCAAGAUGUUUUAAUUGGAUCCUCAAAAUAUUAGUAUUGCAUCAAUCCGGUCAUUCAACCAAUCUAGGGAUGAAGUGAAAAAUAUUUUUUGGGGGAUCAGAUUUAAGUUAUAAUUUUUUGAGAGAACUAAAAUACAAUCUUAAUAUUGUAAUAAUAUAAAGUUUAACAAUUUCUCAAGGGGCUAAAUUAUAAACUUUAUAGUUUUGAAGGGCUAGAAUUGAAUUCUAGAUUUCAGAAGGGUAAAAUGCAAAAUUGCCAUUGAAUUAACUUAAAAUUUCACAAAAUUUAAACAUUCUUUAGUGUUGCUCGAAAUCAAUCUUGAAUUUAACGUGAAACAUAUUUAAAAUACAUGAUUAAAUUUUAAAUUUUAAAUACGUCUCUAGUCUUUACUUAUGAAUAACUUGAAUAUAACUUGUAAAAAGGAAGAAGAAGAGAAACUCUUCUAAUAAUUUUAAAUUUUGGACCAUAAUUUAACCACAUUAUUGAAUUAACACUUUGAAAAUACUAGUAAUUAAUACUAAUAAUAUUUUAAAAUAUUGGUAAAAAAAUCUCUUCAAUCUAUACGAAUUUGAAACCGAGCAAAUUAGUCCCUUUAAAAAAACCAAAACAAUUUAAUCCCUGUCAAAUUCGAAAGUGAGUAACUAAGAACAAUUAAUCACAACGCUUAAUGUUUUCCAUAAGUUGUAUAUGGUUCUGAUUGGUAUAAUAAUAAAUUUAGCUCUCAAAGUUUAUGCAUCCUGUCAAAUUGGUCCUAAUUCAGUGUGUAAGUGUUGAGGUUAAAAUUGUUGAAUUUUUUAAAAAUUAAAAUCAAAAUGACAAAAUAUAUAAACAUUGAAAGUUAAAAUUGUUAUUAUACCAAUCAAAAUCAAGUAUAUUUACUUAAUUUCGAAAUUUAAAAAAUUCGAAAAAUUUUGUUUACCUAAUAAUAUUGAAAUUAUGAAACGUGGAGAAGCAAAGCGGAUUGAUGUAUAAGCAAAGCUUUCAUAAUCUGUCUCUCAUGCAUUUUGGGCACCAAAAUUAUGUUAAUUUGUUAGUGAUUAAGACCCUAAUUAAUUAUUAUAAUUUGGUUACUUAAUCACAACGAUUACAGUUGGGAAGUCCAAGGAUUGAGAUAUAUUGUUUGCAUAGUUCGAUAAGUACAUCAUCAAUUUGUUUGUCUUUCUCAUUCAAUUAACUUCUUUUUUUUUGACAUUUGAUUUUCCUUCUGAUUUUGAAAAUUUUGACAUUUUUAACAAUAAAAUCUUGACAUUUCACCCGUUACAUGUUUUUUUUUUAAUAGAAAAAGCAAGAUAGGGAUUAUUUAUAAACUUGUUAUUAUAUUAUGGGUUAAUGUUAAAUUUUUUUUUAUCUUUUAUAUAAAUAAAUAAAAUUGUUAGGAAAAAAGAACCAAAUGAAUAAAUAUGAUAAAUUAUUUUACGUACUUUUCCCAUCAUAUCAUCUAUGGUCCCUUUUCAAUUAUUUAAUGAUAUUUUAAUAACUUUUUUCAUGUAUUUUUUACCCUAAACUAUGAAUCCUAAACCUCAAACAUUAAAUUUUGAACUCUAAACCCGAACCUCGAACCAUGAUAAGAACUUAUAGUUUAGGUUUGAGGUUCGGAUUUAGAGUUCAAUAUUCAAUGUUCGAGGUAUAGAGUUCAAAGUUUUGGAUUUGGAAUUCAUGGUUUAGGGUAAAUUUUUUUUACCCAAAUUAUGUAUCAAUGACAUAAAAAAAUUUAUUAAAAUAUGGUGGGAAAAGUUUGUAAAAUAAUUUCUCAUAUAUAUAGUUAUUAAAUUAAUAAAUUAUAUUUUUUCAAUUAUCAUAUUUUAAAUAAUUAAUAAAUUUCAUCCAAACAUAAUAUUUUAUUAUGUCGAGAAAAUACAACUUAUUAUCAUCUGAAUUUAGUAACGAAAUUAAUUAAUUAACAAAAAGCAUGGACCUAAUUGAACAUGACAAACGUUUCAAAUAGAGACCAGAUAAAAAAUUAGCUCAUUAUUAAUUUCCCCUAAAUGCCCACGACAUUUUCCUUCUAGAGAGAUGUCACCAUGCCAAUACCCAUGGACGUGAUUCUUAGUUUUAGUAAUGUAGAUUAUAUCGAGUCUUAAUUUUUGGCACUUAAAUUUAGUAAUUAGUAUUCAAUCUAGGGAUUUGGAAAUUUUUUUCAAUUUGGUAUUGAAUUUACAUUUCGUGACAUUUUGAAAUUAUAAAAAUUAUUUAAAAAAUAAUUUUUAGAUGUUAUGUUUAUUUUAAUUUUCAGGUAAUAGCAUAACAUAAUAUUAUGAUAUCAUGUCAUUAAACUUUAACAAAAUUUAUGUUAUGGGGUUCAAUUGAAAAAAAAAACCUAAGUUCUCGGAUUAAUAUGGACAAAAAAAUUAAGGUACUAAAAUGAAUUUAAUUACCAAAUUUAAGGACCAAAAAUUACAUUAACCCUUUUAAAAUAAAAAUAAAAAUAAAAAACAUGCAACGGCUUAACUUAGCGUACAAAUUACAUUUGCCAGUUAGCCAUGAAAUGAUCCACCUCAUCAUAUCUCUAUAUUAGAUGGGGCCUACUCGGCUUUCUUCUCAUUUAUCCCAUUUACCCUCCAUCUAAUUUAUUUAUUUUUAAUAAAUUGAUAAUUUAUAAAUUUAUAAAUAAAUUAUCUUUAUAAAUUAUUAGAAAACUAUUACAAAAAUUUUACUUUAAUUAUUUUAUGAGUUAUCAUCAUAGAUGAUAAUAAUCAGAUACACACUUAUAAUUUCUCCCCAACUAAUAAAUAGAAGAAUAAUACGCUUUAAUAUAUUUGAACUUAUACCUUUCUACACUAACAACAAUACCUCAUAUCAAUUGAAUCAAAACUCAAUGAACAUUUAUCAUAAUUUUUUUAUAUAUACAUAAUAUAAUAUAAUUUAACAUCAAAUAUAUAAAUAAUAAACUAAGUCUUUUUCGACAAUUUUUUUAACCAUCAAAUAUAUCUUAAAUUUUAUUUUAUUGUAAUUUUAUAUGAACUUAUUAUAAUUUUAAUUUGUUAUUUAUAUUAUAUUUGUACUUGUAAAUUUUUAAAAAAAAUUAAAUUAAACAUGUUCAUUUUAAAAAAAAAUGUAAAUAUAAAUAUUUAUUAAAUAUAAUAUGCUUAUAAAGUAUGGUGAAAAUUUUUAUAAUAAGAGUCAAAUUGUAUUUUGUAUGUUCUACUCGAAAAAAUAGAAAAAUUAAUCAUUGUAGGUUAGUCUUUCUAAUAAAAAAUUAAAUCUAUUUUUCUUAUUAAAAAUUAUUUAAUUUUUGAAAAAAUUCUUAUAGGUAACUGUGUUUAAUAAAAAAUAUAAAUUGGAAAAAAAUAUAAAAGUAGUUUUGUUUUAGAUUAAAUGUAAAACUUUAAAAUAAUUGUAAUAUUUAAAAUUAAAAAUAUUAAACUAUUUACAACCGUCGGGACUAAAAAUUAUAUAUUUUUGAAUGAUGAUGAAGAUCGAUUCCUGGUGUAUAUAAAUACUGCCUUCUAUUCCCUUCAGUCUUCACUUCACCCUCUUUCUCAUUUCACACGGGUUGUGGCGUAGUUUAAGCAGAGAGGUUGCGCAGGAUAAAGUCUCUUCACCAUUGUUUCAACAUGAAGGUUUGUAAUAAAAAUUUGUUUCUAUCAGCAUUGCUUUGCAUUGCUAUUGCAGGAGUUUUGGGUCAAGCUCCUAGUAAUCCUCCUACGUCUACGCCGGCGCCACCCACACCACCGGCUUCUACUCCUCCUCCGACGACUCAACCACCGCCUACACCAACCGCCACUCCGCCACCAGUUUCUACUCCUCUUCCCACUUCAUCACCGCCCCCAGUGACAGCUUCUCCACCCCCAGUUUCAACUCCUCCACCCAGUUCUCCUCCUCCCGCAACUCCACCACCUGCUUCUCCACCUCCUGCAACUCCACCUCCAGCUUCUCCACCUCCUGCAACUCCACCUCCAGCUUCUCCACCUCCCGCCACUCCUCCACCAGCAACCCCCCCACCUGCAACUCCUCCUGCUACCCCACCACCAGCUCCAUUGGCUUCUCCUCCAGCCACAGUCCCAGCUAUCUCUCCAGUACAAACACCAUUGACCUCGCCACCAGCUCCGCCGACCGAGGCCCCAGCACCUACCCUCGGGGCUGCUACGCCAGGUCCAGCUGGAACA
rnacentral:lncRNA from 1 species